AGGGGAGUUCCUUCAAUUCAGGAGAGUUACGUCUUUUUAUUUCUUCUUGACUCAUUCUCUGCUUCAUAGAUCCCUCUAUCUCUUCAAUCUUUUUAGAUUUCUUCUCUACUUGGGAUGCAUUCAACUGCCUCACACAUUCUUCCACUCCUUGAUGUUGAUUUUCUUCAACUUUAUCGAUGGAAUUUACAAUGACCCAUUCUAAAUCUGAUAAUGAAGACAUGACUUGAGAAGUUUCUUUAACUCUAUGCUCAACCAUAUUUACCUUAUAACAUUGAGGAUUUUCACUUUUAAGAUUUAUAGCUUUAAACUCAUUAAACACUACUUUUUCAUUGUUGAAACAAAAGAUAAGUUCCCCCAUCUCUACAUCGAUCAACACUCUAAUUGUAGCUGAAAAAGGUCUUCCAAGCAAUAAUAGUGUCUUUAUGUCUUCAACAUUGUCUAAUAUUACAAAAUCUAUGGGAAAUAAAAAUCAUUGAAUCACACCAAUACAUAUUCUAGAACCUCGUAUGGAUAUGUGAUAGAUAUGUCUACUAAAGUCAAAGUCAUCUGAGUAGGCUUUGGUUCCCAAUAAUCAAGCUUUUUCAUCGUAGAUAGAGGCAUCAUAUUGAUACUUGCCCCUAAAUCACAUAGUGAAUUCCCUAUGUUCAACUUUCCAAUGGUACAAAGAAUAGUUAAUCGCCUUGAAUCUUUGAUUUUGGGCGGUAGCUUCCUUUAAUUAUGACAUUGCAUUCUUCAUUCAAAGCUAAGUUCUCAUCAUACCGCAGCUUAUGCUUACAUGUGAGUAACUCUUUCAUGAAUUUAGCGUACAUCAGUAUUUGUUUGAAAGCUUCACGGGAUGGGAUACUAACUUGGAGCUUGGUAAACAUUUCCAUAAACUUUUUGAACUGCCCCACUUAUAUCUCUUUCUUGGGUUUCUUCUUCAAAAUUGGGUAAGGAGGUUUAACAUAGUAUGAUAGUUAGGGAUUAGGUUCAUUCAAUAUUUUUUUCUUAGUUAUCUUCAAAGGUGAGUUUUUAUCAAUGAGUUUGUCAAGUGUAUCCCCCGACACAGGUUCUUCACUCACAUUCUCACUUUUCUCCCUUUAAAUCUUUUUCUUCUUCCUAUUCUCCCUUAACUACUACACCACUCUCUAUUUUCCAUUCCUUCCUCAUUUUUAUUUUACCAAUCAUUUUCACUCAUGUUUUCUCUCUCCACAAGUGUGUUACAAAUUGAUGGAACAACCUUGUUUCUCAAUUGUAUAGCUUGUAAAUCGCAUUUUUAGGUUAUCUACGGUAUUCCCAUUUAAAACCCCCCACUUAUUUGUGAUGCAUCUCAAAAAUCUUAAUGGAUGCUUCAUAAUUCUCACUCAUAGUCUCGAAAUUACUUUGAGUCAUCUGCAUAAACUGAGCCAAAUUUUCUUCUAAUGGAUAAGGUUUCCUUUGUUGUUGCAUUUGAGGAACUUAGGGAAUGUGUAGAACUUGACAGUCGCCUUGGAUUGGAUUCAAACUUGUGUUAUUGCUCCACUUGAAAUUAGGAUGGUCCUUCCAACCUCGAUUGUAAGUUUAAGAAUAUGGAUUACCUCUUUAAAAAUUGGUUUCAUAUUGUGUUUCUUCUGUGAAUCCAUCUGGUUCGCGAUUUCCAUUAGCAUGGCCUACCCAUAAAAAUCACAUUGUAAUACUUGAGCUUGACUUACAUUUGCAUUUCUAGGAAUAAUAGUGGCUCCUGCUAAUUUCUUAGCAAGAACUUCCAAUUGAGCUAAUAUAUUUGUGUGAGAAUCCAAUUCCAAAAUACCUUUUUUCUUAUCUUCAACUUUCAAACCCCUGUCGCUUUGGAGCAGGUAUUCAUUCUGACACAUUUUCUCAAUCAACUCUUUCACCUCAUCUUCAUUCUUUAUUCUGAUUGUAGCUCCAACUGAGGAAUUCAGAAGCAUUUUUAUUUGAGAUUUCAUGCCUUUUAUGAAAUGUUGCAUUUGUUACAUGUUAUCCAUGUUAUGACUCGGACACCUUCUGAGUAGUAGCUUAAAUCUCUCCCAUGCAUCAUAAAGUGAUUCUGAAUCGCCUUGUGAGAAAUUUUCAAUUUCUUCCAUUCUUUCAACAAACUUAAUAUUGGAGAAAUAUCUUUCUAGAAAUUUGUCUUCCAACUCUGUGCAUGCAUGAAUCGUACCACUCGGAAAACACUGCAACCAAUCUUUCAGCUUCUGAUUAAAGAAAAUCAAAACACCUUCAAUUUGAUUCGGUCAUCAAUUCUCCCUUCUGGUUUACAAAUUGAACAAGUAUCAUAAAAUUAAGUCAUAUGCUCCCAUGGGUCUCUAAUUGUGUAGCCAUCGAACAAAAUGUCUUUCAAAACUGCAAGCACAAUAUUCUUAAUGUCAAAAUUAGUGGGUUUCGUCUGUUGGAAUCCUAAUGAAUUUUGCUAUGCAUUUAUCUCCUGCAAUAGUCACUCAUAAUCCUCUUUGGUGAUGGAGAUGCCAUAACUUCUUCUUUUGGAUCACUUUCGUGAUCUGAAGAUUCUGAUAAAUGUUCUUCUUCCACUUUUUUUGUGCAAUUCAUGCUUCUCAAAUUGCUCUCCUGUUUUCUCUAGUUGUCUUUUCCAUCUCUGAAUCUAAUGGUAGUAAUGAUGAUUCUGAACCUCACAUACACAACUAAAAAAAUACCUUAGUAGAAGCGCACCAAGUAAAAAGUAAAAUAAGAAUAGAAAUAUAAUAUAAAAUAAAAUACGGAAUUAUAAACAAUUAAUUUUAAAAUCAACUAACUAAAAAGAAAAAUGGACUAAUAAUAAAAAUCUAAAUUAAAAUAAAUUAAACUUAUAAAACACCUAAACUUCUUUGUUGAAAUAACUCAAUAAUUUUCUGCAACCGUGCCAAAAACUUGAUGACUUUCUAGCAGGCAUAUGAAAUUUAUCACAACUAGCAAAAUAGUUUUUCUCCAUAGGAAUUGUUUUAUUCAAACAGGAAAAUCUAAAUUUAUUUUGAAAGGUAAAAUUGGGGGUGUACAAUUUGGUUUUGGUUAACAGAAAAAGUAAACAAGUACGAGAAAAUAUCACAUUAAUAGACGAUAAGGUUAUAUUCGAAUCCCCUAAGUAUCACUACUAAUGAUAGCGUUUAUUUUCUUUUGAUUAAUCUUGCAUGCCUACGACAAACUAACACGAUCUGUUAUAUCUAAUUCCUUGAUGUAUAACUAACUAACUUAAAAGAUAACUUCCUAAUUCCCUAGGCGAGUUCAAAGAUAAAUUAGGCAAUUAUAGACCGAUAAUUCAAGGUCAAGACUUAGAAUUGUUUAUUUCUAAAUAAAUUACUAAAGAGAAUAAUUGUUCUAAAUCAGGCGUAUAUGGUUAGGGUCAGUAAUCCCUAUAAUUCUAGGUUCAAUCUAUGCGCUCGUCAACACAUAAACACCAAUACACCAAAGAGUAAUUAACUAAACAUGCAAUAUAAAUUUAAGAAAAUAGUACAUAAACAAUCAUAUGUGUAGCGGGAUAUUCAUGAUCAUCAAGCUAUUGACAAGCUAGAGAUCAAUUAACAAGAGUCGCCACCGCGCUUUUAUUGUUUCCAAGGGAAAAGGGAAAAAGUACGAACAAAAACCAAUUAGUAAGAAGUUUUCAAAUAAAAACUAAUAAAAAUCAGAGAUCACAAGUAAGGGGGUUGGUUACACAGAGGGAAGGUGUUAGCACCGAAAGUGUCCUAGGUACUCCUAGGGAACCCUUUUUGUGUGCAUAUGUAUUUUUGUACAAAAUGAUGUUUACAAACAAAUAGAAUGAGGGGAUGAGAAGAGAAUUCAUUGAUUAUAUUUUUGUCUUUGACAAGACCUUCGGUCUUGUGCCUACGUACCAACAUAAAAAUGAGGGAUCAAAACCUCGUAGAUCGUGCUAGAAAUUUCAAAAUGAGUGUGUUGGUUUUAACAAAAUUUAAGUUUAAAAGGCACAAAGGCCUAAAAUGGUUUGAAUGAGUUAGUUCUUUUUUGAAAGUUUAAGUCAAGUAUAGUUAAGUCUAUUUACAAGUUUGAUUUAAGAAAAUGUGUUUGAAAAUGCAAUGGCAUAAGGCCAAAGUUUCUAUCUUUUUGCAAAAAAUGGUCAAAGUUUAGAACAAAAGUAGUUCACACAAAAUAGUUUUUGAAAAUGGAGGGAGAGAUUUUGAAAUUAAAGAAAAGGGGAGAAGAUGAAGAGACUACCCUAUGCACAAAAUUUAAAAGUUUAAAGUUUAAAAGAUCUGACCAAAUAGGAGCAAUCCAAUAGACAAGUAUGUCAAUAGAAACCCAGAAUUCCCUUGGACUUUUAGAAUCAAGCAACACACAAAUGUACAAUUAUAUUAUCUUGAAGAGAAAAGGCAUCAAAUAAGAUGGCCUCAUCUAAGCUUAUCCACUUCAUGAUCUUCUUCAAAAUAGCCUAUGUAGCAGAUGGAUUCCACAAGUUAUAGGUUCAAUAGAAUAACUUAACAAUGAUCAAUAUUGCAGAUGAAAUGGAGAGAUUUUGAAUGAUGUAUCAGAUGAAUUUAAAUUGCAAGUUCUUGGUUCUUCAACAAAUUGGCAUUGGCCAAGUCCAUUAGCAAAGGAAUGUUGCCUAAGUUCUAAGUCCAAUUGGGCAAGAUCAAACCAACAGUCCACUCAAAAGUCUUUUAGGAUUUUUGUUAUUAUUAUGUACAUUAAUGGUCAAAGACCAAACAAACAAGCAAACAAAAUAAUAUCACAAUAUGGUCCAAGUGGACAAAGGGAAAAUCACAUGAACAUAAACAAUUAGAAUGAUAUGUAUAAUGGCAAAUGAUAAUAGAAUACUAAAAGUAAAUUGCAUUAAAGUAAAGGCUUGAAAGUAAAAGUUAAUGGUUAGUAAGUUAGUAGUUAGUUUUAUUUUUCUUUUUGAUUUCAAGACAUUCUUUGGAGAACACUCAACCCACUUGCCACAAGCAUGGAUCCUUGAACCAAAACAUCUUCGAAAGGAAGGAAAGAAGGCCAAGUUUCCACACAAUUCCAUGGAAGAGGGGAGACUUACAAUCUCAUUGACUAGAAUGCUUAUGCCUUUUAUGUCACAAAUUUAGCGCUAUGUUAAGCAAUCUUAAUUGGACUUAUAUAGAAGUCACAACUAUUUGAGGUCGGCCAAUAGACUUUUGGUGUUAAUGCAUGUUGGAGACAUAGUAUUAAGAAAUAUGCUCAUUAAACAUACCACACACAAAAAUAUGUAAAAAGGUGUGGCCUAAUCUCAUCCAUACUUAUGUUAAUCUUUCAAUCAACUAGCAUUAGGACUUUGAGAUAUCAUUGGCCAAUUGAAAAUGAAUGGAUGAAGAAGGGGAAUUAGAUGAAGAGGGGAGGGGAUGAAUGAGAUCACAAAUUGGUCAAAGAAGGACUUUUACCAAAUUAAUAUUAUUCAUUUAUUUUGGGAGAUGGAAUGUACAUUCCACUAAUCCCCUAAAUCCAAUGAUAUUAACUUGACAAACUCAAAUCAACCUUGACCAAGGCCCAACAACAAAUGAGAAACUCAAUUAAGUCAAUAUUAAUGGUCAACACAAUUAAAAUGACAUUUAUUCAAUUAAAAAUAUUAAAAUAAUGCAUUAAAUUCAAAUAUGUUUUGUCCAAAUCCUAAAAUCUCAUCAAAACACCAAAUAAAUAUUCAUGAGAUUUAUCAUAGGUCAAACAAGGUCAAAGGACCUUGGAUAAAAAAAAUCAUAAUUUUUGGACACUUCAAAAUAUUUUUAAACAAUUAAAAACAAAUGAAAAAUAAAUUAAUUCAUGAAAAAUAUUAAUAAUGAUCCAAAAAAUAAUUUUAAUUCAGAAUAUGAAAGAGAACAAUAUUUGAAUUUUUUUGGUGAAAGUCCCAUAUAUUUUGGAUCAAUAUUAAAUUUAAUAUGAAUUAUUGAAGAAAAUGGAAUAAAAAUGAAAUUCAGAAAAUUCAAAAAUACGUGGACCAUCAGAUCUCCCUCAUUAAUUGAGGUGGCAGAUCUGAUGAUCCAUAACAUGCGUUCCACCAAUGUCCUAGUCAAACGCGCUGCAAACGUGGUAUUCACAAGGGACAGCUAAGAUUAAAACGUGGAAGUUGGAUCUCAUGGCUCAGACUCUAGACACAUCAUCACCGGAGGCAGAGCUCGGGUUGUCUUCUCUGGUGAGCUUCACCGGACUGGUCAACAUGAACCAUCUCCAAAAUUUAAAACAGGGACAUGAUUUUAAAGAGAAAACAUCACUGAGCACGAAUCUCACCUCCAAUUCAUCCAAUGCCAACUAUAUUGAGAGAUAUGUGGAAUUGAAAAAUGAGGUUCAUGAUCUGAGUUGCUUCGAUUUGGCCUCAAAGCAACUCAAUCUUCUUGCCUACAUUGGUAGGACUUCAGACAACACAAGAAUCAAAUUGAGAGAUAUGUGGAAUUGAAAAAUGAGGUUCAUGAUCUGAGUUGCUUCGAUUUGGCCUCAAAGCAACUCAAUCUUCUUGCCUACAUUGGUAGGACUUCAGACAACACAAGAAUCAAUGGAAUUGAUCAAGAAUCAAGGAGAAUCAAAGAGUUUAAAAUUUCUACAAAUUACCUUCAAUGGAGGUCUCAGCAUACUAGAUCUUGAUCUGAAUCGUGCUUGGAUUCACUUCAAUUGCUUGCAGAAGAGGAAUGGAAAGGCUUAGAAGCAAUGGAAUCCUGGAGAAUUAAAUUCCAAAACAGUGGAGAUUCAAGCUCAAAUUCAAAUGAAUUUAUCAGGGUUAUCCUCUUAGUGUGAAGGGUUUCCAAUGGAGAUUCAAAGUUGGCGCAAUGUGUGUGUGAAUUCUGAGCAUAAGGGAAAUCAAAUGAUAUUUGCACACUCUUUCCACUUUCCAAAUUUGGUGAAAUGAUGAUGCCAUGCUGCAUGGGCAUGCAUAGGCCCAUGGAAUGAUGGUUUGAAAGUCCAAAUGAAUGAUCAUAUGCUUUGAAGAUGGAUUGGAUUGCAAGGUACAUGUGCAUUAUCACUUGAAGAUUGAUCCAUGCCAAAUGAUAUCAUCCUGUUUAAGCCAUGCGCAACCUAUGCAUUUCUCAUCCAAAAUACAUGAAUUUUAGCUCUUUGGAAAGGUGAGAUUAAGAGGAACAAGUUUGAUGUUGAACACUUUUUCAUUUGGAGCUUGGAACUUGGAGAUAUUUGAGGUGGAAGUUUGGAAAAUUAUGGCAUAUCAAAAAAUUUCUAAGUGUCAAGCUAUAUGGCUCAAUAUUCCACCUUGCUUAACUUUUUAUGGGAGCCUCAAAUGAGAAAUGUGUAUUCAUCAAAGUUGUAGCUCUCUCAAAUACCUUUAAAAUGGUCACCAAUUUCAUGUCAUUUGGAUUUGAAAUGAUAGAUUUAUGCAUUUUUGAAGUUUGGAAAAAUCACUUGAUCAAUGGUAUAGGUCAAAAGUGACCUAUAAUGUAGCCUGAUAUCACAUGUUCAAAGAAGUUGAACUAGCUCCCACUCCAAACAUCAAAGUUGAAGUAGACACAUUGAAUUUUAUUUUGCAACUUGGAAAUCUUCCAUCUCAUAAAAAUUAAGCAAGUUAUGGCCUUGGGAAGUUGACUUUCAAAUUAGGGUUUAGACAAAAUGACAUAUAAUGUUUCAACAUAGAAAAUGAUUUUCCAAGCAAAACUAUCUCUAGGUCUCAUCAUGAAAAUUGUAGGAGAUAGGGUCUAGGAAGACCCAGUUUUUAUCAGAUGAAUUCAUCUAGCCAACCACCAUCAACCAACUUGCUAAUUUCCAAAUAUAUUGACUUUCUUGGCUCAUGGUAGAUCAUAUAUGCAUAAGGUGAUUAAUUUUGAAGUGUCCCUUGAUAAAUUUGAUCAAUUGGUGAGAUAGCUUGUGGGAGAAGUUACUCAAGAUACCCAGACAAACUAGGGUUUCCAAGGCAAAUCACCUUCAAACUCUUGAAGAAAACUUGAUCAAUAUAACAUGUAGAGAUCAUUGGGACUCAUAUAUUAUGAUUGUAAACAUUAUUGAAUCAAUUAUUGGUUGUGCUCUCUGUUCAUGAGAGUCUCAAACCCUAGAUGUGAUCAAUGAAUCAAUGAGAUUAUGCCCUACCUACAAAAGAGUUAGAUAGAUACAAAGACAUAUUUUUGGUAUUUUGGUUAGUAAAAUGAUAGUAUACAAGUAUGAUAUAAUCACAAGAUGCUUGGUGAUCUCUCCCAAAACAAACUCAAUGAAAAGGAGUAAGGAGGAUACCAAGGUGUGAUCCCAAUGCUAAUGGUUAUGAUGGAAAUGCAUGAGGAAUCUUAGGGUCAAAAUUGGGGUCUUACAAUUGCCCCUAUUUAAGGACAUUCUACCUGAGGAGGUGAAGGUUAAAAUCUUCGGCUCGACUCAGUAGAAUGGGCUUAAAUAUCAACAUAUAGAAACAAAUUUUGGUCCCUAAGAGACCUCAUGAUGCAUAUGAUAUGAAUGUAAAAGCUAAUGCUCUAUGGGGAAAUAUUGCCACAAAGAAAAAGAAAUCGGAGAGGCCGAAAGUCCGCAGGAGCACAACGCAUUCCAUAAGGAAAACUUACUAGGGGACAGAGACUCUGGGGGAUAAAAAGAGGAGUUAUGCGUAGGCCAGGCUACGACUUAAAACUACUGGGGGACUCGAGGAAAUCCAUAUAAAAUGGAAAGACUUAGCCGGGGAAACAAACAUCUGCAGGGGAUACGAAUAAGUCAGGAUAACACUGAAAUAUUCGACUCGUGCAGGGGAGAAACACGAUUUCACUAAGGAAAACGCACUCAACUUAACUGGGGAGAAAAUAAAAUUUCAACGCAAGAGGAGCAGAAAUCUAUUAUCUACUACCUGUUACUGGGUAAGGAGAUAAUAAAGAUCUGACAGAGAGAACAUAUGUCACCGGUUAAGAUGAACAUAUCAUUACCGGUUACUGGGUAAGAAUAACCUUGUUGGGGAAACUGCAGAAAAUAGGAUUUACAACUACCAGUUACUGGGCAGAAGACCAAAGGGUGAGAGUAUCCGUCAUCGGUUAAGAUGAACAUAUCAAGGAUAAACUCGACAGGGAAGAAAAUCCGUCACCGGUUAAGAUGAACAUAUCAAGGAUAGCCUUGCCUGGGGAUGUCAAGGAGGAUACCCGUCAUCGGUUAGGAUGAACAUAUCAAGGAUAUACCAACUGAACAACAAAAAGGGAAUUACAUCUAUCUAAAACUAGAUAGAAAACCGUCGGAGAGAAAAAUCCGUCAUCGGUUAGGAUGAACAUAUCAAGGAUUUACUCUGUGAGGGGACAAAGUAGGAUUUACAACUACCGGUUACUGGGUAGAAGACCACACAAAGAGAAAAUCCAUCACUGGUUAAAGUGAACAUAUCAAGGAUAGACUUUGAAAAGGGGAAAAAGUAGGGAUUACAUCUAUCAGUUACUGGAUAGAAUACCAAAGAAGAGAAAACCCGUCAUUGGUUAAAGUGAACAUAUCGAGGAUACACUCCGCUAAAGGGGAACAAUAGGAUUUACAACUACCAGUUACUGGGUAGAAGACCACAAGGAGAAGUAAACUCGUCAUCGGUUAAGAUGAACAUAUCAAGGAUUAACUCUCUGAGGAACCACAAUAGGAAUUAUAACUACCUUUUUAAUGGGUAGAAUACCAAAGAAGAGAAUAUCUGUCACUGGUUAAAGUGAACAUAUCAAGGAUAGACUCCUACAGGGGAAGAAAAGAUAUUUGUCACCGGUUAGGAUGAACAUAUCAAGGAUAUACUUUUCGAGGAAUAGAUCCGCUAGGGAUAUCUGCUGAGGAGAAAAAGGGGUACUUUUGCUGGGUAUUGGGCAAGAAGUAACAAACUACCAACCAAGAAGAAUAUUACCAGUUACUGGGUAAUAGACUCUUAGGGGACCAAGAUAUCUAUCUAGGUAAGAGCUAGAAAGAAAAUGGUUAAUCGAGACUUAACCCAAUAAGGAUAUAACUCAAGGGGAGUAAUUCCAUCCAGAAAAUUUGCUGGAGAGGAAACUGAAAUAACAAUCAUCCACGAGGAAACAAACUCAGUGGGGAAACAGAGAAAGGUUAAAGUCUUUUCUGCUUAAGAGUUGACACUCUACAAUUGAAGGAGGACAGACACCAGAUUUGGUAUGGGGAUAAAGUACCGCCAUAACAGAGAAUGAAAAUCUCAAAUCAAAUCAAAUAUGAAGAUGCAGGAUAUGCAAAUCAUGAAUUUGUAUAUGUAUAUAUGGUGAUUGUGCUGACAAAACGAUCACGAAGGAUAUAGAGGUGUCGCAAAGAAAUUGAACCACCGAUACAAUCCUCGGCCAAUCCACAAAUCGUGGAGGAAAACUGCUGGAGAACAGAGAGAUCAACAUCCCAAAGGCUCAAACCUGGCUGGGGAAAGAGAUUUGUUAAGGAAAAGACAUCCAAUCUGUAGGGAAUUUUAGGUCAACACCAUAAAAAUGGGAGACAACCCUACUGGGAAGAAGUCAAAAGCUGCUCAAGAACCAGGAGGAAACGCUGACUGGGAGCAAAGAGACAACGAUUGGCGGGGACACCAAAAUAAUCUACUGGGGAAAGAUCAAACAUUCCCUGAUGAUGAUCCACCUGCUGAGGAAAUACGAACUCCUCUGGGAAGGCCGAAACUCUGUUGGAGACAAGGACACGCCACAACCCACUCAGCUAGGGAUGAAGAAAGAAACUCCACUGGGGAUCAAAUACUCCAUCGAGGAACUGAAUCAACACAAACGUCUAGGGAUACCCGAAGGGUUAACUGCUUGGGGAACCUCAGAUGCUUCACACUUAAGAACUUACUUCUUACUGAAAUGCUGUUGAUAUUACUGUUAUUGGCUUUGGAAAAGUUCUUGCUUAUAUAUUUUAAAGAAAACUUGAUUUUGAUUUAAAAAUUUUAAUUUCAAAAUGAUCAUAAUAAAAUUUAAAAUUAUUGGCUAAAGUAAAUAAGAGUAGAAUCAAUUUGGAUAAAAGCUCAACUUUAUUUAUUAGGAUGGUAGUCUGUAAAUGACAAGACUCCAUAGAUUUUACAAAGUUGAAAAUGGUAAUUUACAUGGAAAAGGGUUACAUUGAAUACAAAUGAUCCUUAAUUCCUCUACCAAAUCUUGAUAUCCACUGUGAUUUUGACCGCUGUUGGAGAUGAGUCGAUGCCAACCCUUGUGCUCAAACAAGUCUUCAAAAUCACUGAAGAUUAGCGGAAUGCAGUUACUUGCCAUAAUCCCUAAUUUUUGCAUAUGUUGCCCCAGGGUGGGGUACUCAAAUUAUCGGGAAAUUCUUUUCUGUUUUUAUGUCUCUAAUUUUUGCCUGGAUCGCCCUUUCGGAUUUUCAAUCCACCGAGACGCUCAUUUUUGCCUAAGCCGCCCUUUCGGGUUUUCAACUUAGCGAGUUGUUCUUUUCUUUUUUUAGGCGAAGUAUUUCUUGACUGCGUCUGCGUUCACAGGACGAGUGAACUCUUCACCAUCCAUAGUUGUAAGAAUCAAUGCACCGCCUGAAAAGGCUCUCUUGACAACAUAUGGGCCUUCAUAAUUGGGAGUCCCUUUCCCUCUGGAAUCUGGUUUGAACGAUAAAAUCUUCUUGAGCACAAGGUCACCUUCUCUGAACACACGAGGUUUGACCUUCUUAUCAAAAGCUUUCUUCAUUCUCUACUGAUAUAACUGACUAUGGCACAUGGCAGUCAAUCUCUUCUCUUCAAUCAAAUUCAACUGGUCAAACCUGGUCUGGCACCAUUCAACUUCAGUCAACUUGGCUUCCAUGAGCACACGCAACGAAGGAAUCUCAACCUCUACAGGGAGAACUGCUUCCAUACCAUAAACGAGAGAGAAAGGGUUUGCCCCUGUUGAAGUGCGGACGGAUGUACGAUACCCAUGCAAAGCAAACGGGAGCAUCUCAUGCCAAUCCUUAUACGUGACAACCAUCUUCUGGAUAAUCUUCUUAAUGUUCUUAUUCGCAGCUUCAACGGCCUCAUUCCUCUUGGGUCUAUAGGGAGAAGAAUUAUGAUGUGCAAUCUUGAAGUCUUUGCAAAGAGCUUCCACCAUAUUGUUAUUCAAGUUUGAUCCAUUAUCAGUAAUGAUCUUACUUGGCACACCAUAACGGCCUAUAAUCUGAUUCUUGAUAAACCUUACAACAACUUUCUUGGUUACAUUUGCAUAUGAUGUCGCUUCAACCCAUUGUGUGAAGUAGUCAAUGGCCACUAAAAUGAAACGAUGUCCAUUCGAUGCUUUGGGCUCAAUCAUCCCAAUCAUAUCAAUUCCCCACAUGGGGAAGGGCCAUGGGGAAGAGAUAACAUUCAAUAGUGUCGGAGGAACAUGAAUCUUAUCAGCAUAGAUUUGACACUUGUGGCAUUUCUUCACAAACUUGCAACAGUCAGAUUCCAUUGUCAGCCAAUAGUAACCUGCUCGCAACAUCUUCUUUGCCAUUGCAUGUCCAUUGGAGUGAGUACCAAAGGAACCUUCAUGCACUUCGGUCAUCAAUAAGUCUGCUUCGUGUCUAUCCACACAUCUGAGCAAAACCAUGUCGAAGUUUCUCUUGUACAGUAUAUCACCAUUUAAGUAGAAAUUACCGGCUAAUCUUCUCAAAGUCUUCUUGUCUUUCAAAGAUGCCCCAGGCGGGUAAAUCUGACUUUUGAGGAAACAUUUGAUGUCGUAAUACCACGGCUUCUCAUCUUUGAUCUCUUCAACAGCAAACACAUGAGAUGGCCUAUCAAGACACAUCACAGAUAAAUUGGGAACUUCAUUCCAAAACUUUACCACAAUCAUUGAUGCCAACGUUGCAAGAGCAUCUGCCAUCCGGUUUUCAUCUCGAGGGAUAUGAUGAAAUUCAACCUUGGUAAAGAAAGUUGAAAUCCUCCUCGCAUAAUCUCUAUAUGGUAUUAAGUCGGGUUGAUUCGUAUCUCAUUCUCCUUUGAUCUGAUUCACAAUCAAAGCUGAAUCGCCGAAGACAUCCAAAUACUUGAUUCUGAGAUUCAUGGCCUCUUCAAGCCCCAUAAUGCAAGCUUCACAUUCUUCCAUGUUGUUUGUACACUUGAAAUUCAAUCUAGCUAUAAAUGGUAGAUGUGUGCCUUGAAAAGUAAUAAUUACUGCCCCAAUGUCAUUUCCAUAUUGAUUAACAACUCCAUCAAAUACCAUGCCCCAACAGGAACCAGGUUCUGGCCCUUCUUCUAGCAAUGGUUCAUCACAAUCUUUCAUUUUCAAGUACAAAAUCUCUUCAUCUGGAAAAUCAUACUGCAAUGACUGAUAAUCUUCAAUUGGUUUGUGAGUCAAAUGGUCGGCCAAGAUACUACCUUUGAUCACCUUCUAAGAUCGGUAUUCGAUAUCAUACUCUGAUAACAGCAUCUGCCAACGGGAAAUUCUCUCAGUUAAAGCAGGCUUCUCAAAUAUAUACUUGAUUGGAUCCAUUUUGGAUAUCAACCAAGUGGUAUGAUUCAACAUAUACUGACGCAGACGCUUAGCAGCCCAAAAAUUCUCUCAGUUAAAGCAGGCUUCUCAAAUAUAUACUUGAUUGGAUCCAUUUUGGAUAUCAACCAAGUGGUAUGAUUCAACAUAUACUGACGCAGACGCUUAGCAGCCCAAGCCAAUGCACAACAACUCUUCUCAAGCAUUAAAUACUGAGUCUCACAGUCGGUGAACUUCUUACUAAGGUAGUAAAUUGCAAAUUCUUUAUUCCCAGUCUCAUCUUGCUGACCAAGAACAUAACCCAUACUAUCUUCUGGCGCAGUCAAAUAGAUGAUCAGCGGUCUUCCUUCAACAGGAAGAGACAAAAUCGGAGGUUCAAGCAAACAUUCUUUGAUACUAUCAAAUGCUUUCUGGCAGUCUUCAGCCCAAUUGCAAGACUGAUCUUUCCGAAGAAGCUUGAAUAUAGGCGCACAUGUGGCAGUCAUGUGGGAAAUGAAUAUGGAAAUAUAAUUCAAGCGGCCGAGAAAACCUCUUACUUGCUUCUCAGUUUUAGGCGCAUGCAUCUCUUGUAUUGCUUUGACCUUGUCAGGAUCAACUUCGAUACCCUUCUCACUGACAAUAAAGCCCAAUAACUUACCUGAACGAACACCAAAAGUACACUUAUUAGGAUUCAAGCGGAGUUUAUACUUCCUCAAACGCUGGAAUAGCUUCAACAAAUGCUCAACAUGUUCCUCUUCAUCAAUUGAUUUAACAAUCAUGUCAUCGACAUACACUUCUAUCUCUUUAUGCAUCAUAUCAUGAAAAAGAGUAGUAAUUGCUCUCUGGUAAGUUGCACCAGCAUUCUUUAGACCAAAAGGCAUCACUCUAUAACAGAAUGUUCCCCAGGGUGUAAUGAAUGUGGUCUUCUCCAUAUCCUCGGGUGCCAUCUUAAUCUGAUUAUAUCCAGAAAAUCUAUCCAUAAACGAAAAGACUUUGAAUUUAGCGGUAUUGUCUACCAACAUAUCAAUGUGUGGCAGAGGGAAAUCAUCUUUCGGACUGGCUUUAUUCAAAUCUCUAUAGUCAACACACAUGCAGACUUUUCCAUCUUUCUUCGGCACAGGCACAAUAUUGCCCACCCAUUGCGGAACUCGGCAUUCAGGCACACGACUUGCAAUUUGCUUCUAACCUUCCUUUUGAUCUUCCAGCCAUAUCAGGAUGCGUCUUUCUCAACUUCUGCUUGACUGGCGGGCAUUUCUGGCUUCAACGUAAUCUAUACUCCACAAUUCUCAUAAUCCAACCAGGCAUGUCUUGUAAGGACACCAACGCCAAACUACAUCUGCAAUAUCUCGUAAGAAGAUAAUCACCCUUCUAUCAGCACUACUGGGACACAGUCGAGACGCACCAAGUCUUGACUUCCUUCACAUCAUCUUCGGAACCCAAGUUGACUAGCUCAAUCUGUCUAUUAAAACGACUGAAUACAUCUUUUCAUCUUUCUCAAGAAGACGAGACAAUUCAGCGCUCCUUAUAUCAUUUCCAUCCUCACGGCUCAACCACAGGGAAUUCAAAAUUUGGAAGAAGGAAGAGAUCAUUGUAUUCAACGGGUUAGGAACCAAACCUGCAUAAUGAUUUGAUAUUUUGAUUUAGAGAAGUGAACUUUCUGACCAAAUAUAUGCAAGAAUGAACACACUUAUACUUAGUUCUAUUUAUAGUUUUUUGUGAUUAACCAUUUUCAGAAUAAGCAAAAAGUAAAAAUACAACACUCAAAGAUGUGGAUGAAUAGAAUUAAUUUUAUUGAUGAUCAAUUUAAAAUGCCCAACAAUGUUCACUUCUCCCUUAGGCAUAGGAGAAGGAUUUUAAAAUAUAAAAGCAAUUACUUAGAUUGAUGCAAAAUAACGGGAAUAUUAACAGCAGUCCAAUUGUUGCAUGUCUGUCCAUGCGUCACAAAGUUGGUGCAGUCUUCCUCUUCAUUGUCCUCUAGCACGACAGUUAAGUGUUAUUCAUUGCCAUGAAUGAACCCUCCGCUACGGAAGCUGAGUUGCAUCUCUUCAGAUCUAACGGUUGACGAGCCCUUCUGGAACCCUAAACCAGUUUUUCCCUUGUUGUCGGUGACCUCUACCACGCGCCCCCACUGAUCAAUAGGACCUUCUUCAACAAUCUUCUGCGCAUCCUUUAGAGAGGACGUAGAUUCCCCAACUCUCUUCUCAGCAGCAAUUGAUAAGGCUUGGAACGGUGUCCCAACCUCAUCCUCAGCUUCCACAUAUGAGAAAGAUGAUAGAUGGCUAACCAACAGUGCUUUCUCAGCUCCCACGAUCACCAGCUUGCCAUUGUUGACGAAUUUGAGCUUCUGAUGCAGAGUGGAAGUAACAACUCCUACUUCAUGAAUCCAUGGCCUUCCCAACAAACAGUUGUAGGCCGGGUGAAUAUCCAUUACCUGGAAAGUAAUCUGAAAAUCACUCGGACCUAUCUUGACUGGAAGGUCCACUUCUCCAAUGACAGUCUUGUGCGAGCCAUCGAAAGCUUUGACAAUUACUCCACUGUACCUCAUGGGAGCUCCUUGAUAAGAUAACUUUGACAAUGUUGACUUUGGAAGCACAUUGAGUGACGACCUAGUGUCAACUAGCACAUUUGACAAAGCAUCUUCUUUGCAAUUCAUAGAAAUAUGCAAAGCCAGAUUGUGAUUUCUUCCCUCCUCAUGGAGUUCUUCGUUGCAAAAGCUCAAAUUAUUGCAUGAAGUGAUGUUAGCCACAAUGUGAUCAAACUGAUCCAUAGUAACAUCUUGCUCCACGUAUGCCUGUUUAAGAACUCUCUGGAGUGCUUCUUUGUGCACUUCAGAAUUCAAAAGCAGAGACAACACGAAAAUCUUUGAGGGGGUCUGGAGCAACUGCUCAACCACGUUAAAUCCACUCCUCUUGAUCAGUUGGAGCACCUCAUCAUCAUCAUUAUUGGCUUUCAGAUUGUUGGAUUCACCAGACUUAUCUUUUGAACAACCAAUAGGAUCUACACUAGGCACCUCCGCCUUCUUACCAACAAUCAAUUCUUCUCUAUUCUCCGGGAACACCGGUCCAAAAACUCGACCACUGCGGGUCACCUUCGUAACAUCUGCAAUGCUCACCACUGAACUGGUCGUAGGCAACGGGACCUCUUGACCUUUCUCUAUCAUCGUAGCAUUGUAUUGAUACAGUAUAACCUUAUCAGAUGCAUACGGGACGGGGCCCGCUAACCGUAUUACCAACGGCAAAACUGAUUUAUUGUUGACGUUCUGGCUAAUGCUGCUAUCAUACUGAAUCACCAACCGCUCUGGUUGCUUGAAAACAGACACUAUGACAUUGACAUCGUUAUCUACAUGACGGGAUUGGACAAUCUGAAUCACGCCUUCAUCCAUCAGACGUUGGAUGUCCCUUUUCACUACAACACACCCCCUUGGGUUCAUGCUACAAAUAUCACAACCAUCGUGAGCAUGUUCAAAUUCACUCACCAGACAGAUAUCUUUGUGCAUCUGCACCAAAGACCUUCGGAUAAACCGGACAUCGAAAACUUUGAAUUCACCAAGACAACCGUCCACCAUAUUCACUGAAGAAUUCCCAUGAGCAGGCAAAGGAUUAGCUUUCACAUUAGGCGCGCGGUCUUCAAAAGACACCAUGCCACUCUUCAUAAGCUUUUACACCUCAUACUUCAACGGAUAACAGUUCUCAAUAUCGUGCCCAGCUGCACCCUGGUGAAAAGCACAACGAAGUUCAGGUUUAUACCACCAAGGAAGUGGUUCUGGGAUUUGCGGUGGAUUCCUCGGUUGAAUCAAAAAAUUUAGGACUGGGGAUGGGUACAACUCUGCAUAUGACAUAGGAAUCGGGUCGAAAGAGACCUUCUUCCUCUCAAAGUUUUGUUGCUGGUGAUGAUUGUUCUUGGAAUUGUUGUUGUUGUAGGUGUUCGUUCUUUAUUGCGGUUGUUGUUGUUGACGUUGAUUUUGAUACUGAUGUUGUUGUUGUUGAAUUAGUGUUGUUUGCUGAUUUAAAAAUACUGGAAUGACGGAAGAUACUUGAUGAUGAUGAUGUUGACGGGGUGGUGGAUUUCUUCUGACUUGAGGCCUCAUCUGCCUCCCACUAGUUAUUGCGUUUCUCUCAUUAUCCUUUCUCUUACUGAAACUACUCCUAUACUUCUUGCUGGUUGACGCCUCCUCUUUCGACAAUCGUCCUUCACGGACCCCUUCUUCAAGUCUCAUCCCCAUAUUUACCAUUUCGGUAAAAUCAUUAGGGGCAUUGGCAAUCAUUCGUUCAUAGUAAAAUGAACUCAGGGUUUUCAGAAAGAUUUUUGUCAUCUCCUUCUCCUCCAAAGGAGGAGUGAUCUGGGCAGCCAACUCCCUCCAACACUGGGCAUACUCUUUGAGUGUCUCCUUAUCUUUCUGAGACAUGGACCUCAGUUGGUCCCUAUCUGGCGCCAUGUCCACGUUGUAUUUAUACUGUUUCACAAAAGCCUCUCCUAGAUCAUUGAAAGUGUAGAUGCUUGCACUAUCUAGCCUCAUAUAACAACGGAGUGCAGCACCUGUCAGGCUAUCCUGGAAAUAGUGAAUCAGUAGUUGAUCAUUAUCUGUCUGGGUUGACAUCUUGCGGGCAUACAUCACAAGAUGAUUGAGUGGACAUGAGUUCCCCUUACACUUCUCAAAGUCUGGCACUUUGAAUUUCACUGGGAUUUUCAUAUUAGGCACUAAGCACAGUUUAGCGGCACUCUUCCCAAACAGAUCUUUGCCUCUCAGCGUUUUCAGUUCCUUGCGCAGCUCAAGAAAUUGGUCCUUCAUCUCAUCCAUCUUUUCAUAGACAUUCGGGCCCUCAGAUGACUCGGAAUGAUAGAUGGUGUCUUCUACACGCGGAAAAGUGUGCACAACGGGAGGUUCCACAGACAUGAUCGGGCUAGAUGUCGGCAUGGAAGCAAAAGUGGGAGCGAAACCCUCUGGUACAAAAUUAGGAGGCAUUCCCCAAGGGAAUCCAGCAGGCAGAUUCGGAGCGAAGUGGGCGGUGGUAGUAGGCACAGUAGAGGUAACCACUUCAGAAAUGACAGUCCUUGCAGGAGGAGUUGCAGGAGUUGGAGAAGCUUGGCUCUAGGCAGCAAGAACUGACUCCAUCAUGGCAGUCAGCCGGGCAAUAUCCUCUUUCAAGUCUCGGUUCUCUUGCUCAAGGUGUUCCAUGAUCUUUGGACAAUUAGCUCUGGUGUUGUACCGGUGAGUCAGCUUGGCUAAAGCACAGAAGAAGAUCAAUUAGACACCUGGCAAAAACCUGCUUAUGCAAAUGAUGCAUGAAAUGCAAUGCUUGAUUAUUAUUUUUAUUUCCAAGGAACUUACUAUAUCAUUUGAAAAUAUAUAAAAAUUGAAAUGGCAAUUACAAUAAAUUUUGAUAUGACCAAAAAUCUCUUUCUAUUUAUAUAAAUUGGAAGGAUUACACUGAGUACAAUUUCAGAAACCAAAAUAAAAAGAUACAAGAGAAAAGGAGACUAGUCAUCCUAAGGAUCCCUAACAACAAUGUCAGAAGAUCUGGCUGAAGGAGCGUACUUCCUUCGAAUGCGACGAAUCUCGGUCUCAAAAGAAGCCUUCAUCUGAGUCUUCUCGAGGACAAGGUGGUCAACAAUCUUCUUCCAAGCAACAGAAGGCUGAGGCAUGCUAGAAGAUGAAACCUCUGGCUCUCUCUGUCUCUUCGUCACUCGGUCUUCAAGUAGCUCAAUUAGUACAUCUUUAUCCUUAGACUUCAAUAGCAACUCUUCAUGCUUCUUGCUCAAAGCAUGGAAACGCUCUUCCCACAUAUCCUUCUCUUGCUUCAUCUUGGUGAGCGCGUCUUCCAACUCCUCUACAUCCUGGUUAGGGAGAGUUAAUGGCUCAACCACAACCAUAGACAUAGGUCUUUCGCAAGGAUAAGGCAUCUUCAACUCCAUAGCUCUCUUCUUCACCCAAAGAGUGAAAUCUUCCAAAGCUACACAAUUGCACGGACCAAGCUCGGAUCUUCCUUUCCUAUGCACAUUAUGCCAAGCAUGCACAAUCUUCUGCUUCAAAUGUUGGGUAUCUUUAUCCUCUUGAUAGAAAAGACCUUUUAACAACAUGUUAUUAGGUUUGUCCCUCAAGGGGAACCCAAGUUGACGACGAGCCAAAGUAGGGUUGUAGCUAAUUACUCCUUAUGUACCAAUGAGAGGCACAUUAGAGAAUUCACCACAACUAUCAAUAAUUUCCAAACUUCUUAAUGAAGGAUCAUACCAAACUAUAUCAUCAUUAGUGAGAGACAUAAGUCUCUGAGACCACCUUAGACAUUGUUUAUUCUCCACAAAAGCAGGUGUUUGGGGCAAGUGCGGAAUAAACCACUUGUACAGAAGAGGAGUGCAACAGACAUUAGUUCCACCACCUUUAGAAUUCCUUAGAUGCAAAGAGAAAUACAUAUCACCCAACAAAGUAGGCACAAGAUUUCCAAUCAAGAAAAGUCUAAUGGCGUUAACAUCAACAAAACCGUCAAUGUUAGGGAACACCCAACAAAGUAGGCACAAGAUUUCCAAUCAAGAAAAGUCUAAUGGCGUUAACAUCAACAAAACCGUCAAUGUUAGGGAACAAAGCUAAUCCAUAGAUGAGCAACACAAAGAUAGCUUCAAAAGCGUCCACACUACCAACUUGAGCAAAAGUGAUAGCUUCCUUGAUGAGGAAAAUAGAUGGCAACCCAAACAGUCCUCCUUUCUUCACCCAAUGAGCCUCUAUCUCAGACUUCUUUAAGUGAAGAGCUUCAACAAUAAUACUAGAUCGGGGAAUCUCCUCCAAUCCACUAAAAGGUACUCUACUAGAAACAGGUAUCCCCAAAAGAUGAUAAUAUUCCUCCAAGGUAGGCACAAGCUGAAAAUCUGGGAAAGUGAAAUAAUGGUAGAGAGGAUCAUAGAACUGCACCAAUACACUCAAGAGUCCUUCAACCACAUCAGCAGAUAAAAUAGACAGAAGUCUCCCAUGACGUUGUUUGAAGUCCAAGGGAUCUAAUACAAAAGAUGCUAGCUUCCUUAACUCUUUCAAGUCAGGACAUCUAAAACUGUACUUCUUAGUGUUCCUUCGUCCACAAUCCAUGGUCUGAAAGUAUUUGCAAAUGAUACCUUAGUUCCUUAAAAUUUUUGUGUGAUGGAUGUUAUGAUGCGCAUGAAAUGCAUGGAUGCAACAAUCACAAGUAAGGGAUCACACACAAGGCAAACAAAGGUCAAGGGAUGAAUCAAGUCAUUGUCAAGAUCAAUCAUCCAUUUUGCUGGAUUAUGGUUUACACCUUAUCAACACCCAAGUUCCAUUGAUAUUGACAAGACUUGAUUGGAUCAACCAAGAAUCAAGGGUUUGUUGCAAGUCACGAGCAUGGAGUCUGGGUAAGAACCAUCCCAAAAUGGUUUACACCUUAUCAACACCCAAGUUCCAUUGAUAUUGACAAGACUUGAUUGGAUCAACCAAGAAUCAAGGGUUUGUUGCAAGUCACGAGCAUGGAGUCUGGGUAAGAACCAUCCCAAAGGAGUAAACUAAGGAUAAAACCUAUAGAUAAUGUUCUAAAAAGUUUCCAGAGUUUUAAUUCCAUCUAUCGGAUAUUACAGGUUAAGAUGACUGACUCAUCGACCCAUAAUAUUCUCAAGAGAAACUCGUCCGAGUGUAGUAUCGCGUAACAACUGUUAUCAAGUCUACACCUGAACAGUUUCCGCACUACGUCCUAAAUAGGACAAGAUGGUUUAGGUGUUCUAAGGCCCUCAGCUUCUCAGGCUCAAUUAGAAAUAGCAAUGCCUAACCACAAAUACUUGUGUGACAUUCCCAAAUCCAAAGGAGUCUCCACUGAGCAGAUGGAUCUCAAGCCAACUUGUUAAGGACUACUCCACACAAGUCGAACAUGACUAUACCAUCCUCUUAUCUUAAUUGCACUCAAGUUUGGGUUAGAACUUAUCUGACCACUCAGAGAUCCCCAAGCACAACAAGCAGAUUAUAUCACACAUACAUAUAUAUAAACAUCACAUAUAUACAAAUAUAUUCACACAAAAAGUAGGCUAAACACACUGGAGACUACUCCCCAGCAGAGUCGCCACUUAAUUUCUGUAGCGGGAUAUUCAUGAUCAUCAAGUUAUUGACAAGCUAGAGAUCAAUUAACAAGUGUCGCCACCGCACUUUUAUUGUUUCCAAGGGAAAAGGAAAAAAGUACGAACAAAACCCAAUUAGUAAGAAGUUUUCAAAUAAAAACUAAUAAAAAUCAAAGAUCACAAGUAAGGGGGUUGGUUACACAGAGGGAAGGUGUUAACACCGAAAGUGUCCUAGGUACUCCUAGGGAGCCCUUUUUGUGUGCAUAUGUAUUUUUGUACAAAGUGAUGUUUACAAACAAAUAGAAUGAGAGGAUGAGAAGAGAAUUCAUUGAUUAUAUGUUUGUGUUUGACAAGACCUCCGGCCUUAUAACUACGUACCAACAUAAAAAUGAGGGAUCAAAACCUCGUAGUUCGUGCUAGAACUUUCAAAAUAAGUGUGUUGGUUUUAGCAAAAUUUAAAUUUAAAAGGCACAAAGGCCUAAAAUGGUUUGAAUGAGUUAGUUCUUUUUUGGCUUUUUUGAAAGUUUAAUUCAGGUAUAGUUAAGUCUAUUUACAAGUUUGAUAUAAGAAAAUGAGUUUGAAAAUGCAAUGGCAUAAGGCCAAAGUUUCUAUCUUUUUGCAAAAAGUGGUCAAAGUUUAGAACAAAAGUAGUUCACACAAAGAAGGUUUUGAAAAUGGAGGGAGAGAUUUUGAAAUUAAAGAAAAGGGGAGAAGAUGAAGAGACUACCCUAUGCACAAAAUUUAAAAGUUUAAAGUUGAAAAGAUUUGACAAAAUGGGAGCAAUCUAAUAGACAAGUAUGUCAAUAGAAACCCAGAAUUCCCUUGGACUUUUAGAAUCAAGCAACACACAAAUGCACAAUUAUAUUAUCUUGAAGAUAAAAGGCAUCAAAUAGAGAUGGCCUCAUCCAAGCUUAUCCACUUCAUGAUCUUCUUCAAAAUAGCCUAUGUAGCAGAUGGAUUCCACAAGUCACAGGUUCAACACAACAGCUUAACAAUGAUCAAUGUUGUAGAUGAACUGGAGAGAUCUUGAAUGAUGUAUCAGAUGAAUUCAAAUUGCAAGUUCUUGGUUCUUCAACAAAUUGGUAUUGGCCAAGUCCAUUAGCGAAGGAAUGUUGCCUAAGUUCUAAGUCCAAUUGGGCAAGAUCAAACCAACAGUCCACUCAAAAGUCUUUUAGGGUUUUUGUUAUUAUUAUAUACAUUAAUGGUCAAAGACCAAACAAACAAGAAAACAAAAGAAUAUCACAAUAUGGUCCAAGUGGACAAAGGGAAAAUUACAUGAACAUAAGCAAUUAGAAUGAUAUGUAUAAUGGCAAAUGAUAAUAGAAUACUAAAAGUAAAUUGCAUUAAAGUAAAGGCUUGAAAGUAAAAGUUAAUGGUUAGUAAGUUUGUAGUUAGGUUUAUUUUUCUUUUUGAUUUCAUGACAUUCUUUUGAGAACACUCAACCCACUUUCCACAAGCAUGGAUCCUUGAACAAAAGUAUCUUCCAAAGGAAGGAAAGAAGGCCAAGUUUCCACACAAUAUCAUGGAAGAGGAGAGACUUACAAUCUCACUAACUAGAAUGCUUAUGCCUUUUAUGUCACAAAUUUAGCGCUAUGUUAAGCAAUCGUAAUUGGACUUAUAUAGAAGUCACAACUAUUUGAGGCCGNNNNNNNNNNNNNNNNNNNNNNNNNNNNNNNNNNNNNNNNNNNNNNNNNNNNNNNNNNNNNNNNNNNNNNNNNNNNNNNNNNNNNNNNNNNNNNNNNNNNNNNNNNNNNNNNNNNNNNNNNNNNNNNNNNNNNNNNNNNNNNNNNNNNNNNNNNNNNNNNNNNNNNNNNNNNNNNNNNNNNNNNNNNNNNNNNNNNNNNNNNNNNNNNNNNNNNNNNNNNNNNNNNNNNNNNNNNNNNNNNNNNNNNNNNNNNNNNNNNNNNNNNNNNNNNNNNNNNNNNNNNNNNNNNNNNNNNNNNNNNNNNNNNNNNNNNNNNNNNNNNNNNNNNNNNNNNNNNNNNNNNNNNNNNNNNNNNNNNNNNNNNNNNNNNNNNNNNNNNNNNNNNNNNNNNNNNNNNNNNNNNNNNNNNNNNNNNNNNNNNNNNNNNNNNNNNNNNNNNNNNNNNNNNNNNNNNNNNNNNNNNNNNNNNNNNNNNNNNNNNNNNNNNNNNNNNNNNNNNNNNNNNNNNNNNNNNNNNNNNNNNNNNNNNNNNNNNNNNNNNNNNNNNNNNNNNNNNNNNNNNNNNNNNNNNNNNNNNNNNNNNNNNNNNNNNNNNNNNNNNNNNNNNNNNNNNNNNNNNNNNNNNNNNNNNNNNNNNNNNNNNNNNNNNNNNNNNNNNNNNNNNNNNNNNNNNNNNNNNNNNNNNNNNNNNNNNNNNNNNNNNNNNNNNNNNNNNNNNNNNNNNNNNNNNNNNNNNNNNNNNNNNNNNNNNNNNNNNNNNNNNNNNNNNNNNNNNNNNNNNNNNNNNNNNNNNNNNNNNNNNNNNNNNNNNNNNNNNNNNNNNNNNNNNNNNNNNNNNNNNNNNNNNNNNNNNNNNNNNNNNNNNNNNNNNNNNNNNNNNNNNNNNNNNNNNNNNNNNNNNNNNNNNNNNNNNNNNNNNNNNNNNNNNNNNNNNNNNNNNNNNNNNNNNNNNNNNNNNNNNNNNNNNNNNNNNNNNNNNNNNNNNNNNNNNNNNNNNNNNNNNNNNNNNNNNNNNNNNNNNNNNNNNNNNNNNNNNNNNNNNNNNNNNNNNNNNNNNNNNNNNNNNNNNNNNNNNNNNNNNNNNNNNNNNNNNNNNNNNNNNNNNNNNNNNNNUAGGUCAAACAAGGUCAAAGGACCUUGGAUAAAAAAUUUCAUAAUUUUUGGACACUUCAAAAUAUUUUUAAACAAUUAAAAACAAAUGAAAAAUAAAUUAAUUCAUGAAAAAUAUUAAUAAUGAUCCAAAAAAUAAUUUUAAUUCAGAAUAUGAAAGAGAAAAAUAUUUGAAUUUUUUUGGUGAAAGUCCCAUUUUUUUUUGGAUCAAUAUUAAAUUUAAUAUGAAUUAUUGAAGAAAAUGAAAUUCAGAAAAUUCAAAAAUACGUGGACCAUCAGAUCUCCCUCAUUAAUUGAGGUGGCAGAUCUGAUGAUCCAGAACACGCGUUCCACCAAUGUCCUUGUCAAACGCGCUGCAAACAUGGUAUUCACAAGGGACAACUAAGAUUAAAACGUGGAAGUUGGAUCCCAUGGCUCAGACUCAAGACACAUCAUCACCGAAGCCAGAGCUCCAGUUGUCUUCUCCGGUGAGCUUCAUCGGACUGGUCAGCAUGAACCAUCACCGAAAUUUAAAACAGGGACAUGAUUUUAAAGAGAAAACAUCACUGAGCACGAAUAUCACUUCCAAUUCAUCCAAUUCCAACUAUAUUGAGAGAUAUGUGGAAUUGAAAAAUGAGGUUCAUGAUCUGAGUUGGUUCGAUUUGGCCUCAAAGCAACUCAAUCUUCUUGCCUACAUUGGUAGGACUUCAGACAACACAAGAAUCAAUGGAAUUGAUCAAUAAUCAAGGAGAAUCGAAGAGUUUAAAAUUUCUGCAAAUUACCUUCAAUGGAGGUUUAAGCUUGCUAGAUCUUGAUCUGAAUUGUGCUUGACUUCACUUCAAUUGCUUGCAGAAGAGGAAUGGAAAGGCUUAGAAGAAAUUGACUCCUGGAGAAUUGAAUUCCAAAACAGUGGAGAUUCAAGCUCAAAUUCAAAUGAAUUUAUCAGGGUUAUCCUCUUAGUGUGAAGGGUUUUCAAUGGAGAUUCAAAGCUGACGCAAUGUGUGCGUGAAUUCUGAGCAUAAGGGCCUCAAUUUAUAGGGAAAUCAAAUGAUAUUUGCACACUUUUUCCACUUUCCAAAUUUGGUAAAAUAAUGAUGCAAUGCUGCAUGGGCGCGCAUAGGCCAAUGGAAUGAUGGUUUGAAAGUCCAAAUGAAUGAUCAGAUGCUUUGAAGAUGGAUUGGAUUGCAAGGUACAUGUGCAUUGUCACUUGAAGAUGGAUUGGAUUGCAAGGUACAUGUGCAUUGUCACUUGUAGCUCUCUCAGAUACCUUAAAAAUGGUCACCAAUUUCAUGUCAUUUGGAUUUGAAAUGAUAGAGUUAUGCAUUUUUGAAGUUUGGAAAAAUCACUUGAUCAAUGGUAUAGGUCAAAAGUGACCUAUAAUGUAGCCUCAUAUCACAUGUUCAAAGAAGUUGAAUUAGCUCCACUCCAAACAUCAAAGUUGAAGUAGACACAUUUAAUUUGAUUGUGCAACUUGGAAAUCUUCCAUCUCAUAAAAAUUGAGCAAGUUAUGGCCUUGGGAAGUUGACUUUCAAAUUAGGGUUUAGACAAAAUGACCUAUAAUGUUUCAACAUAGAAAAUGAUUUUCCAAGCAAAACUAGCUCUAGGUCUCAACAUGAAAGUUGUUUAUAAUGUUAUUUAGAGUAAUUUUUAGCUUGGAAUCAUUUUCAUAUGGUGAAAAUUGUAGGAGAUAGGGUCUAGGGAGACCCAAUUUUUAUCAGAUGAAUUCAUCUGGCCAACCACCAUCAACCAACUUGCUAAUUUCCAAAUCUCUUGACUUUCUUGGCUCAUGGUAGAUAAUAUAUACAUAAGAUGAUGAAUUUUGAAGUUUACCUUGAUAAAUUUGAUCAAUUGGUGAGAUAGCUUGUGGGAGAAGUUACUCAAGAUACCCAGUCAAACUAGGGUUUCCAAGGCAAAUCACCCUCAAACUCUUGAAGCAAACUUGAUCAAUAUAACAUGUAGAGAUCAUUAGGACUCAUAUAUGAUGAUUGUAACCAUUAUUGAAUCAAUUCUUGGUUGUGCUCUUUGUUCAUGAGGGUCUCAAACCCUAGAUGUGAUCAAUGAAUCAAUGAGAUCAUGCCAUACCUACAAAAGAGUUAUAUAGAUACAAAGACAUAUUUUUGGUAUUUUGAUUAGUAAAAUGAUAGUAUACAAGUAUGACAUAAUCACAAGAUGCUUGGUGAUCUCUCCCAAAACAAACCCAAUGAAAAGGGGUAAGGAGGAUACCAAGGUGUGAUCCCAAUGCUAAUGGUUAUGAUGGAAAUGCAUGAGGGAUCUUAGGUUCAAAAUUGGGGUCUUACAAUAUGCCCCAGUAGAUCAAAUGUAUGUCCAUCUUCUAAAACCUAAUCAAAAGUAAAUUAGUUACUCAUGGUAGAAAAAAGCAUAUAAAAGAGAUAAUAAAAAGUACAUGAGAUUUCGGUAAGGAAUUGUUCUAUAAAUGAUUAAAAAAAACCUUCAUUCUGGAGCUUCACUGUAUGCUUCAGUCGUCAACUCUAUUGUGAAAUUUGUACCCAAAAGUACAUCUCUCUAAAAACUACAAUAUGUUUUUUUAACAUUUUAGGAAUUUCAUUAGAUCCUGUUGUCAUACCCCAAUUUAGUUCGGGCAUUUUAAAAUUUUCAUAAGUUUGACUUUAUUUUUAGUUUGCAUCUUUGUAUAGCAUGACAUGCAUUUCAUCAUGAAAAAUACCUAAAAUAUCAGUCGGAAUAGAUUCUCGAAUAUACAGACAAAUUGGUUAAAUCAUUCAUGAAGUACGUGAAAAAUUAACAGGUAAAAAGUUUCGAAAUCAAGCUUGCAAACAUCAGUAUUAUUAAUCUACCGUCCAUGUAGUUUAAUAUGGUAUGCUCGUUUUAUUUUUUGACGACUCUUACGGUUGCAUUUUGAUCCGUCUGAGCUUUUUAACCGGUCAAAAUUUUAUUUCAAAAUUAAAAGAAAUGUUGUAUUUUUUCAAUAAGUAUAUUUCAUGUUGAUCAUUUUAGUGCAUCCGAUUUAAUUUUUCGAGCAAAUUUCCGCCUGACUUUUAUUCAUUUUUAGUCGUUUUAUAUUCAAAAAAAAUAAAUAUAAUUUUCCAUGUCCUUAUUUUAUUUUUAUCAUACUCAUUUUAGAAAUUGGAAUUUUUAUUUGAUUUAAUUGAUUUAAAUUGUUUUAAAACGAUUAAAUCAUAUAAAAAAGCAUUAUAGAGAUUUUAACUUAUUUAAUAAUAUGUGCUUCUUGGUGUGUUUCUUUGAAUUAAUCAUGAUCAUUAAAUCAAGAUUAAUCAAUGGUCUUCAUUUGUAAUCCAUGCCCAUUUCUAUUAUCCAACCACGAAAUACGAGGAAAUAGUAAUAUUAAAAAAAUAAUAAAAGAAAAUGAAAUCCCCACUAGGAUAUCACAUGCGGCCAACUGGAUGAGGGAUGGAUGAAUUCCGUUAGAAAUUGGGGACAUGUGAUGAAAGCUGGAAAUAUAAAUCAACUCAUAAGAAACCACUUUCAGAAAGAAAAAACCACUAUAAGAGACACAUCAUCCUCUCCAACGGGAAAAAAAAAGGAAAAAGAAAAAGAGAGAGACCAUUAAAAAAGGGAGGCUGGGAACGACUCUACGGAUCUAUCUCGGCCAAUAGGAAAGGAGUUCUGGGAGAAAAGAAACAAAAGAGUCUUCUUCUUCAUCCGCGGUAACCUUCACUACCCACGACCUUUUCUUCUUCCUACCAUCAAUUUCUUCCUUUUCAAUUCCAUCCACAGCACCGCCGCCGCUAACAAACAUCUUCAACAUUUUUUUCGCCGCUACGCUUCACCCACCUUCAACACACCAUACCGUCCACCGCACGGAAUGCUCAUUCAACUCAUCGCCUUCCAUCACAACGACGAUUCAACAAACUCUGAUCCACCACAAAUUACCCUCUCUCUCUAAUGCACGAGAUAUUCUUCUUCACUCGUCGAGGUCAACCUCUCCAUCUCUAAUCCGUACUUCAUCCCCAUCAAAACUCCACAAGCAAGAACAUCAACUUAUCACCCACAAACCGCCGGUAACACCAUUAAAUCCAUUCUCCAGCAGUAGAGAUUUAUAUCAGGUUUUAUGGAACUCAACAAAAUGGAGCAUCUCCAAUUCAGUUUUGUUUCAAACACCAAACAUCUAACUUCUAGCGUCGACCAACAUAAUCAUCGUGUUAACACUGUUCUCACCACACAACCUUCACUCCGCGACGCCCGAUUCAUACUCUGAACAUCCUUCACCAAGUGAUCUUCAAAUGUAAUCCAGCCGUCAAACCAUCCAACAGCUACAAAUUACAACCACUACUCGAUUCUGAUUUCGACAACUUGGUUUAUGCCCAAAGAUGGAGAGAGUUAGCGGCUCGCGUUGAACCACCACUCUUAGAGAAAUAAUUAAUGGACCCAUUCAAAGAUACCUUGCAAAGUCCUUACUUCGAAAGGAUGAUUAGUAGUGCAACAUUAGACUUCGCUCACUUGUUGUCAAUUGGAGAAUGCAUCGAGCAUGGCCUUAAAAGUGGAAAAAUACAAUACGUCUUAAAUAGCCAGAGCAUUGAGAGUGAAUCUAUUGUCAGUUCACAAAAGGAAGAAGAGGAUGAAGUUAAUGUAGUCUGGGAAAGCCCACAAGCUCCAUAGCAGACACCAUCUUCUCCACAUGGUCAGUAUCCUACAAAUAAAGGAUUUCCUCAAUAUCAACGAUAGAUUCCACCUCAGCAGCCAUACAAACAGAAGGAUGUUCCACAUCGGAAAUGUUAACAUGCUCAACAAAGGCCAAGAAAUCUAGUGAGACACAUCGAUCUGCUUCCAAUGCCAUAUAGUCAAGUACUUCCGUAUUUGAUUGAGAGAUGAUUGAUAGUGCCAAAGGAGCUAAAACCAAUAAGUCCUCCAUAUCCACCAGGCUUUUACGCCAACGCUCGAUGUGACUUUCAUGUUAGGGCACAUGGGCAUUCAACUGAAGACUGUAAGGUGCUCAAGAGCAAGGUACAGACUCUGCUUGACUCCAAGAUGUUCUCAUUUGUGCCUCGAGGCCUUCACCUUAACAAUACUUCUUCACCUAGCUAUGUGGGUCCAUCAGUCCACGUUAUGGAAGAAAUUUCCAAGAAUAGGUCUGAAGAUGAUUAUCAUAUUAGUCUCGACGAGCAUAACUACCAUUACUCUAAAGAAGGCUAGCGUAGCAGUAAACCAGGCACGAGAGAGCUUCCUCUGCACUGGAGAAUAUUUGGCUAUUUCUAGCAUGUCAUUUGUAUUUUUCUUUGCAUGUUAAGUACUUACCUGCUUUCAAGUAUUGUUGAUUUCCUUUAAUGGUAAUAUUAAUGAAAUGAUCAUGCAUGUUUUGAACGAAUCCUUUCGUAUUCACUCAUAUUUUCCAUUUAUAUCAAAAAAUAUUACUCUCAUUCAAUUAUCAAAUUGUUGUUUUAGCAAAUAUUUGAGGGAGGAUGAUGAAAACAAAAUACCCAUAAUUGUUGAUUGUAUGCUUUCGGAUAAAAUCUUGCUGAUGAUGUACAUGUAUUGUUUCAAAUCCCCCAAACACUGGAGAUAUAAGGAGUUAAUCCCUAGUCAAACACUUCGAGCCUAGAAGUAGGAGUUUCUCUCGGAUUUACAAACCCUUACAUUUAACUUGGGGCAGGGUAGUGUUCAGUUAAUCUGACUAUGCAUUCAAAUUACAAGAUGAAACAUCCUUUAUGAGGAUCAACUACAUGCCAUUCUUCGCACACAUCCUGAAGUGUCGAAGGAACCUUGAAAAAUCCCAAAGUUAUGUUGGUUGUUCUUCAAUGACCAAUGACUUGGAAGUCAUAAUUUUCCACAUAAAAAAUCAAAUAAAGAACCCGCUAAGUCGAACACCCAAAGAGACAACUUAGGCAAAAAAUAUGGGCAAUCUCGAUGGACUAAGGCUUCAAAAGCGGUUCAGGAAAAAGUUAGGGAUCAAAAUAAAAAUCAAAAGAGGCAAUGAAAACCCUCAACAAAACAAAACAAGAUUCGGUGACCACCAUACCAAAAUCAAAGGGUCACCAACAUCCAUGAAGAGCAAAAUAAGAUGACUGCCAUUUCAAGAGAUCUUACACUGCCAAACUCUCUUAAAAGUUGAAUGUGUGUGUUGACUUAACUAAACAUAGGAUUGGAGAUCAUCAUGAAGAAGGGGUGGGUUAAAACAAAAUUUGAGCCUUACAUCCUUUGUUUCAAUAACCAUGAACCAAGCCACAUUACAACCCUUAAAAGACCUAAUUGAAGCAAGGUUUAUUCUGAAAGCAUACCACAGCAAGGUUGCUUAAACUGACUCCUAGAUAUUUGCUAACCACUUGUAUUGGCAUCAUAUUCUUGUUGUAUCUUCCACACUAGCUAAACCAGUACUGUGUUUUGACUAAUGGUCCAUUCGUCACACACUAUCACAUCACCUCAAUAAAUGAUUUUUCAAACCUGCAUGAAUAUCGCAUUAAAAUUACCAUUGAUUAAAUAAAUAAAUUUAACUUCAAGUAAGUACUUGACAUCAAGGAACUUCAAAGAAGUAAUUAGAGGAACUUGAACAUUCGUCAAUGUUAACCCAAAUCAAAACUACUUCCCAACCCUAUGGAUUAGGGGCAUGGUAUCCAAUGACUAUGAAUUGGUCAGUCAAAAGACAAACUCCAAGUAUCGGUGGAUCAAGGAGGCAAAAAAUUUCAAAAUAUUCAGUCCAUCUGGGGAAAGCCUUUCAAAAAGCUCAACCAGGGGCAAUCUACUGAAUGAUUCAUACACUGAGGAAAAUUUGGUUCAAAGCCAUGGUAUAAACGUUCCUAGGGUUUCCUUUCAAAGGUGAAUCCCUUCAAAGACCCUACAAGCUAGGGAAGACAAGUUGCAAAGAUCCUUGAGGAAGAGCAAGAGCAUAAUCACCAUGCAUUGAUUAUGUCGCUACACUCAUUAAAUUAUUUGCAGACCAUCAAGGCAUAUCAGUCAAAGAAGUUGAUGUUCUCUCACGAACAAACACACAGUUUAUCGACAAAGGAUCAAACUUGGGAACCAAGAGCAUCCAUGUUUAUCUUCCAAUCAUCACAUCGUCAAAAUAUCGAGUGUUGGGAAUUCGAAACCUUUCACCAACCAAAAGUCCAAUCCCUAUUGGCAUCUCCAAAACCAUAGUCCAAUCCAUAUUGGCAACCAUUGAAAGUCUAUUUUGCUGGCAUCUUCAUAAACUCAAAUCCAAUCCACAUUGCUACCCAUAAAGUCUCACCUUCAAAAAAGGGAGACUAAUCCAAAAAAAACAAUAAUCCUCUUGCAUUACCACAUGCACUGCAUACAAUAAACACACAUGACUUUCCUUCCAAAUCAUGAAGUUGCAUAUCAAAAAGCUCUUUCACAAAAACGAGAAAUUUCCAUUAACAUGCAUCAUAUGCAUACAUAACAUAAGAAUUCCUUUCCAUCAACCCUUUGAGGAGGACAUAACUUGAUUUUUCAUUUCCAUCAACCCUCUGAUGAUGAAAAUAUUUUCCAUCAGCCCUCUGAUGAUGAUAUUUUACAACAAAUCUUUUCCAUCAACCCUUUGAUGAUGAUAUUCUAUAUUUGAUUUCUUUUCCGUCAACCCUUUGACAAUGAUAGAUCUUUUCCAUCAACCCUUUGAUGAUGCCACUCCACAGUGAAGUUUCUUUCCGUCAACCCUUUGACAAUGAUAAAUUUUUUCCAUCAACCCGUUGAUGAUGCCACUCCAUAGUGAAGUUUCUUUCCGUCGACCCUUUGACGAUGAUAUUACAUAUAUAAUUCCUUUUCCAUCAGCCCUUUAAUGAUGACAAUCUUUUUCGUCAACCCUUUGACGAUGGCAGUUUCUUUUCGUCAACCCUUUGACAAUAACAAAUUCUUUUCCACCAACCCUUUGGUGAUGGCAUCUGUUGUACCCCUAAAUUUUCCCUCCCCUUCUCACCUAUGUAUCUAAUCACUUGAUCAAGAGAUGGCUGGCAUACAUCCAUAACUCAUCCACAUGCAUCAUUCCUCAUGGAUUCAGAAGAAACUUGUGCCCAGGAAGCUAGGGCUCACACAGGUAUCAAGGGCCAAAGGCAUGGUUUGGUUCACAUCAUCAGCAUGGGGAUGUGAAACCCUAAUGGUGGUGAUGAAGGUUUGACUUCAACAAAGUGUGACUAGGCAAAGCUCAGGGACCUUCAAAACCCUAAUUUCUUGAUGAUGGAGGUAUGGGUUCAACAGGGGAAUUUUCAAGCAACCCUCAAGGCUUUCCAACCCUGAUGCUUGAGGAUUUGGUCAUAAAGCUUUGGAUUUGUUUGUGAAGCAUCUUGAUUGAUUCAAAGACCUUGGCAUGCCUCAGGUAAUCCCUAUCAAGGAGGAUUUGGUCUAAAGGUAUCUUGUAACUUGAAUUUUCAUCUAGAUGGUCUUCAAACCCUAAUUCCACCUAAUGCAUCCCCCAUUGUGUGUAUGACACUCUUGCUUGGUCCUUGCCCCUCAUAAACCCUUAUAUUGGGCUCAUUCAUGUUGAUUUUGGGUUGGUUCCAUCCAUUUGUGCUUAAGGCCAUUGUUCCUAGCCCAAGUCUUUAAUUCUAUGAAUCUCCAUCAUCUGCUUAUGUCCCAUGGCACUUCAUUUGUUCAUUUCAAGUGCCUAGCCUUUGAUUUGUCUGGUUUCAUUUGGUGGAGUACAUCCAAGUCCAUUUCAUGACACUUUCAAUGCUUAGUGUUUGGUUCAUGGAUCUUUGUUCCAUGUUCAUCAUUGUCUACGCAAGUCCAGUUGAUUCAUGUUAUUGGUUUAUUCAAUUCAUUCAUGUUCACCUAAAGUCAUAUUCUUGGUUCAUUUCAAUCAUGCCCAUUCAAGAUCAAGUCAAAGCCAACUCCAAUCCAUUACAAUCCAGUUACAAGGCAAUACAUUCAUGUCAAUUCAAAUGCCAAGUUCAGUUCAUUUCAUUCAUAAACACCAAUUUCCAUUCAAAUAACCACCUACAACCCAUUGCAAUGCUCAUUACAUCCAAAGAAAAGAACAAAAUUACAUGUUGACCAAAUGUUGACUUUGGUCAACAAUUGACUUUUUGGUCAACUUUGACCAAAGUCAAUGAUGACACUGAAAUUCACCGUAUUUUCAACUCCGAUUUCGCAUGCAUUUUAGUUAUUUGAUUGUUAUUUUGUUAUGUUAUUACUAUGUUUCUCUUUGUUUUCAGGUUUUUACUUUAAUCAGAGCCCCGACCGAGAAAAUGAGUGAAAACGAGCUAAAAACCCUAAAAUUCAGCAUUUUACACUUGUGGCUCUCACUGUGGCUGGCGCCAUGGACCAACCAUGACAUGUAACAACUCAACUUCCCUCAACUGCCACGUUCCCCACUACCUCCACUAUGACGCCACAAUUUGCUCUUAUGGCGGGCGCCAUGGACUUGUGGCGGGCGCCACAAGAAGGAAAGUUUUUCCUCCCAAUUUCAAACUGAAAGGCAUCCUUGUCAUUUGCAUUAUUUUACUUGCCUAUAAAUAGAGACUCGAAUUCAUUUGUUUAAUCAUCCAAACUUAGAGCAGAUGCAAACUUAGUUUCCCUUAGGCAUAUAUUCAGUAUUUUAAAGUGGUAAUCGCUUCGCAUUGGGGUGUUACCACAAUUGUGUAAUCAAGUCUGUGAUCGAGUCUGUAAUCGAGUUUGGAGCACUUUGGAAGGAAGUUAAUCCUGCCAACAUUUUCAUUUUCGCUUCGCAUUUUAUUCAACCCUCCGAUUGGAGCAGGUUUUAUUGCUUGCCUUUAUCUAAUUUAUUUUUUUCCCGCACUCGCUUUACUUUAUUUAUUUCCCGCACUCGCACUUUACUUUAUUUAUUUCCCACACUCGCACUUUACUUUAUUUAUUUUCUCGCACUCGCACUACUUUCAUUUAUUUCCCGCACUCGCACUUUACUUUAUUUAUUUCCCGCACUCGCACUACUUUUAUUUACUUUCCGCACUCGCACUACUUUUAUUUAAAUUAAAAUGCACCUUUACUUUACCAUGUCUAACUAAAUCUAUAAGGUUAGAAUGUAAGGAUUGUAAUUAAAUCGAUAAUCCGUACAAUUGUUCGUAGAAACACUUAAGGGCUAUUUUAACUUUUAACUUAAGUUUUCCCGCACUUAAUUUCCGUUGGGUAAGAUCAAAAGCCGCCCAACGUCUUUUUAAACUUAAUUGUUUUUAACUAUUUCAAAAACAGCGAAAGCGCUUUGUUUAGUUCGUUAGGAGUUUUUAACUUAAGAAGAAAAGUGAUUUUAAAACUAUUUUUGGACGCGUUUAUAAGUUUAGAGUCUGGUUCGUGAGAACCUCUUUUGGUUAAGAAAUCCAGGUUAAAAUACUUUUCAACUUAUUGGACGCGUUUAUAAGUUUAGAGUCUGGUUCGUGAGAACCUCUUUUGGUUAAGAAAUCCAGGUUAAAAUACUUUUCAACUUAGUCAAGAUACUAUAUUUCUUAAAAAUAGGUUUACUACUCUAACGCAACACGCGCCUUUUUAUAAGUGAUAAUAAGAGGGUUUGAUUAGGGAGUACAACUCGGUUCUGAAUACGUGAAAGCGACAGUUCCUGUUAAAUUGGUUCUUUUCAAAGUAGGAAACACUGCCCAUAAGUAGUUCUAUUAGUAAGUACUUGGAUUAUUAAUUGAUUAUGUGAAUUACAUUUGAACCUGUCUUUAUUAAUUGAACUUUAUUCAACACUUUACUUUUCAUUGCACACUCUAAAAACCCCUAUUUUGAUUACCUUAGAUAAACAUCAUAACAAUAGGUAACGAUAGAUUGACACUUCGUCUCUGUGGAUUCGACAAUCUUUUAUAUUACUCUCACGCGUUCGUAUACUUGCGAAAAGCACGCAUCAAGUUUUUGGCGCCGCUACCGGGGACCAAUUUCGUCAAAUUUCAUACCCUGUUGUUAUAUCAUUUAGGUUUAGGCUAUUACCCUCCGGUCAAUGCGAAGAACUCGCAGCACCAGAAGUUUAGUAUACCCUCUGGCGGAACCUAAACGUUAUGCUCGCACACGUUUAUUCUUUCAUAGAAUUAGGAGGGCUAUGGCCGAAGAUCAAAACCAAAGACCUCUUAAAGAUUUCUCCCAACCAUACAACAAAGAACCUAGUUCUAGUAUAGUAAACCCAACCAUCCCAGCUAAUAAUUUCGAACUUAAACCCUCCCUAUUGCAAUUAGUGCAACAGAGACAAUUCGCAGGUCUCGCUAAUGAGAACCCAAAUCAACAUUUAAAAAUCUUUCUCCAAUUAGCGGACACUUUUAAAACCAAUGGAGCUUCUCCUGAGGCGUUCCGUUUAAGAUUAUUCCCUUUUUCCCUCAGAGAUAAAGCCCUAUCAUGGUUAGACUCCCUUCCACCCAAUUCCAUUACGACUUGGGAUAACCUUAGAAGAGUAUUCCUUGCUAGAUAUUUUCCCCCGAGUAAGACCGCUGUUCUUCUAAACCACAUAACUAGAUUUACCCAGAACCAAGGAGAAUCGUUGUUCGAAGCUUGACAGAGAUAUAAAGAGUUGUUAAGAGCAUGCCCACAUCAUGGCUUAGAAAAUUGGUUAAUCAUUCAAUCCUUCUAUAAUGGACUUCACUAUAACACUAAGAUGACCAUUGACGCUGCCGCAGGCGAUGCGCUAAUGAACAAACCUUAUCCUGAAGCUAGUACCCUCAUUGAAGAUAUGGCUCAAAACCAUCAAUCAUGGGGAGUCGAACGAGCGACAGUUGAAAAGAAGGAAGCCCAAGGAGGAGUGCAUGAACUAAGCUCUAUAGACAUGAUGCAAGCUAAAAUGGACGCAUUAGCCCUCAAAGUCGAGCAUAUGUGCAUAAACCGAAUACUGUUAGCCGCAGUUUUGUCGGAUUGUGAGAUAUGUGGAACCAAAGGACACCAAUCUGCAGAAUGCAGUCUAUUAAACGAAACCCACUCUGAGCAAGUGAACUACACCCAAGGGAACCCAUAUUCGAAUACCUAUAACCCUGGAUGGAGGAAUCACCCGAACUUCUCUUAUAAGAACAAUAACCCUAUCCAAAAUAAUGCACCUCCGAGACAACCAGGUUACCAAGCCCCAAGACCAAAUCAACCUAUGCAACCUGUGCCACCAAAGCCGAGCCUUAAGAAAAUUAUGGAAAAUUUUAUCACUGCUCAAACCCAACAAAACAAAGAGUUCAUGAACCAAAACAUUCACGUUAAUGAACUAAUUACCCAGUUAGGAACCAAGGUUGACCAAAUAGUUACUCACACCAAGAUGCUUGAAACCUAUAUCUCUCAGGUAGCUUUAAACCAAGCCCCCCAGACCACACUUGGAGGACAGUUCCCUGGAUAACCUCAACAAAAUCCGAGAGGGCAAGCCAAUGCCAUUACCCUACGAAGUGGGAACGCUUAUGAUGAGCCACCAAACCCAAGAUUGAGUGAACCCAAAAAUUCUAAUGAAUAUACCAAACCCCCGGACGAAGUAAGGGAACCAGAGGAAUCUGAAAACCAGGAAGAUCAAGAAAAAGGAGAAGAACCUAAAGAUAAAACUUAUGUACCACCCCCGCCAUAUAAACCGCUUAUACCUUAUCCGCAAAGACUCAAACAAACCCAGAUCAAUAACCAAUAUCAAAAAUUUAUUGAAGUUAUAGAAAAACUUCACGUAGAAAUCCCUUUCAUAGAAGCCAUCACCCAAAUACCUUCUUGUGCAAAGUUUCUCAAAUACAUCCUUACCAAUAAACAUAGACUAGACGAUCUGAAACCCUUGGAAUGUAAUUCCAUUUCCGAGAAUAAGUUAGCCAAAAAGGAUAAAGAUCCUGGAAAUUUCUCCAUUCCUUGUCUUUUGGGAAGUCAUGUCAUCGAAAAAGCUUUUCUAGACUUAGGAGCUAGUGUGAGCUUAAUGCCUUUAGCAGUUUGUGAGAGGUUAAACUUAGGAGAAUUACAACCUACUAGAUGUCACUUCAGUUAGCCGAUAGAUCUGUUAAGUAUCCGAUAAGGCAUUUUAGAAGAUGUCCCUGUUAGGAUAGGUCAGUUAUUUAUCCCUACUGAUUUCAUUGUCAUGGACAUCAAAGAGGACAAUGAUAUACCAAUCCUUCUAGGUAGACCAUUCUUAUCAACUGCUGGAGCCAUAAUAGAUGUCAAGAGAGGAAAGUUGACCUUUGAGGUAGGUGACGAGAAAAUAGAAUUUAUACUUUCGAAAAUUUCUUAUGGCACCUGUGAUGGGAGAUGCAUGUUAUGCCUUAGAUAUCAUUGAUGAAUGCGUUAGGGAAUUAGAACAAGAAGAAAUCAUAAAAACAAUUAAGUUGCCAUCAACUCUCAUAUUGGAAGAUGAUGACUUUAUAAAACCCUACAUCAAUGAUAACCUUUACGAAUGUUUAUCCCUUACCCCAAAUCCUAUGCCAUGCCCUAAGAAACCAACCUUGGAACUUAAGGAACUGCCUAAGAAUCUGAGAUAUGAGUUCCUCGAUGAAGAGAUGAAUCGUCCAGUUAUAGUCAGUGUUACCUUAAGCCAAGAGGAAACAGACCAACUUUUAGACGUUUUACGAAGAUAUCCCUCAGCCUUAGGAUAUAAUAUCUCUGACCUGAAAGGUAUAAGCCCAUCCGUAUGCAUGCAUCGGAUUUCGCUCGAAGAAGAUUUCAAAACCCUCCAGAGAACAUCAGAGAAGAAUAAACCCUAUAAUAGUGAUGUUGUUAGAAAAGAAGUUCUUAAGUUACUUGAGGCAGGUAUAAUCUACCAAGAUCUCGGACAGUAAGUGGGUGAGCCCUGUGAUGUAGUACCUAAAAAGGGAGGCAUCACAUGUAGCAAAACGGUUAGAAGGAGGAUGGCGGAUGUGUAUAGACUAUUAGAAGUUAAAUAAAGCAACCAGGAAGGAUCAUUUCCCUUUACCAUUUAUAGACCAGAUGUUGGAGCGUCUAGCCAGACACUCUUACUUCUGCUAUCUAGAUGGAUACUCUGGAUUCUUCCAAAUACCUAACCAUCCUGAAGAUCAAGAACUUUUGCCUACAGAUGAAUACCAUUCGGCCUCUGUAACGCCCCAACCACUUUCCAACGCUGUAUGAUGUCAACCUUUGCAGAUUACUUAGAUGGUAUCAUGGAAGUGUUCAUGGAUGAUUUCUCGGUUUGCGGAUCCGAUUUCCACAAUUGUCUUGCUAACCUUGAGAAAAUCCUGGAGAGAUGCGUGGAGGUGAACCUCGUGCUAAAUUGGGAAAAGUGUCAUUUCAUGGUGACCGAAGGAACUCUUUUAGGAUAUAUAGUUUCCGAAAAAGGUAUAGAGGUAGAUAGAGCUAAGAUAGAAGUUAUAGAAAACCUAAAACCACCCAAAAUUAUUAGAGAAGUGUGAUGUUUUCUUAGACAUGCUGGAUUCUACCGGCGUUUUAUCAAGGACUUCUCCAAAAUAACUAAACUUUUAACUAGACUUUUAAUGAAAGAUGUUGAAUUCAUUUUCGAUGGAAAAUGUAAUGAAGCAUUUAAACUGUUAAAGCAAGCAUUAGUAUCAGCACCUAUUAUGAAACCCCCUGAUUGGUCAGAACCUUUUGAGAUAAUGUGCGAUGCUAGUGAUUAUGCGGUUGGAGCCGUUCUAGGACAAAGGAAAGAUAAGAAAUUACAUGCAACUUAUUAUGCCAGUAGAACCCUAGACGCUGCCCAACUCAACUACGCAACAACUGAAAAGGAAUUACUCGCUGUAGACAAAUUUAGAUCUUAUCUAGUAGGAGCAAAAAUUAUAGUUUACACUGAUCAUGCUGCCAUUCGUUACCUAUUAAGUAAAAAAGAUGCCAAGCCCAGGUUACUCCAAUGGAUUCUGUUACUACAAGAGUUUGAUUUAGAUAAAAGAGAUAAAAAAAGGCACUGAAAAUGUAGUAGCUGAUCAUCAUUCUAGGCUAGAACACCUAAAACCAGACUUAGUACCCAUAAACGAUGAUUUUGCCUAUGAUAGACUGAUAGCUAGACUAGAAACCAUUGAAGACGAUAACCUAGGCCCUCAUGAGCACUUCCAAAAAUCCUUAGUAGUAAGUAACGUACCAUGGUGUGCAGACUUUGUUAAUUACCUAGUUGCUGAUAUCGUACCCCCUGAUCUUGACUACCACCACAAGAAGAAGUUCUUCAACGAUGUGAGAAACUUUUAUUGGGACGAACCGCUCCUUUUCAAAAGGGGUAAAGAUGGCAUUUUUCGUCGUUGCGUUCUAGAAGAGAAGGUAAAAAGUAUCAUCGAGCAUUGUCAUUUUGCACCCUAUGGUGGACAUGCGAGCACCUCUAAGACAUACGCCAAGAUUCUUCAAGCUGGCCUAUUCUGGCUUACCAUGUGGCGCGAUGUCCAUACUUGCAUUGUCAAAUGUGAUAGAUGCCAACACACUGGAAACAUUUCAAGGCGUGAUGAAGUGCCUUAAAGAAACAUUCAAGAAGUAGAACUCUUCGACGUAUGGGGUAUAGAUUUCAUGGGACCUUUCCCACCAUCCUUAGGAAAUAGGUAUAUCUUGGUAGUUGUGGACUACGUGUCUAAGUGGAUUGAAGUUAUAGCUGCACCCACAAACGACACUAGGGUGGUAAUCAAACUAUUUAAAAACUAUAUAUUCCCUAGAUUUGGAACACCAUGUUUAGUCAUAAGCGAUGGAGGAUCACACUUCAUAUCGAGAAUAUUUGAUAAACUUUUAAGAAAAUAUGGAGUUAGGCAUAAUAAGCGAUGGAGGAUCACACUUCAUAUCGAGAAUAUUUGAUAAACUUUUAAGAAAAUAUGGAGUUAGGCAUAGAGUAGCAACACCAUACCAUCCACAGACUAGUGGCCAAGUAGAAGUAUCCAAUAGAGAGAUAAAACAAAUCCUAGAAAAAACAGUUUCAAUAUCUAGGAGAGACUGGUCUCAAAAGCUUCAAGAAGCAUUAUGGGCCUAUAGAACCGCUUUCAAAACCCCUAUAGGAACAACUCCCUACCAACUAGUCUAUGGAAAAUCAUGUCACUUACCAUUCGAAUUAGAGCAUAAGGCCUAUUGGGCCAUUAAAACUUUGAAUUUAGACUACCUGACCGCUGGUGAGAAGCGUAUCCUUGACAUUCAUAAACUAGAAGAACUCAGGAAAUCUGCCUACGAGAAUGCCAAGAUAUACAAAGAGAGAAAAAAAGCUUGGCAUGACAAAAGAAUAGUAAAGAAAGACUUCAAUAUAGGCGACCCUGCUCUCUUGUUCAACUCUAGGUUACGACUCUUCCCUGGGAAGUUGCGCUCAAGAUGGACUGGCCCUUUCAAAGUAUCCAAGAUUCUGAGAUCCGGAGCCGUAGAAAUCAAGAAUGAGACUUGUAGUCCAUUCAUUGUAAAUGGAAAAAGACUGAAGCUCUAUGAAGGAGGAGACAUUCCAACAGACUACUCAAGCCACACUCUGAUUGAUCCACCGAUCCCUACUACAGGUGUAUAGCUUCUGAUCGUCAAGCUAAUGACGUUAAACAAGCGCUGCGUGGGAGGCAACCCAUGGUUUUCUUACCUUGUUUUACUUUUUUGCAUUUACUUUAUUUUUAAUUUUUAAUUUUUAUCAUAUUUUUACCGAGACUAAAUAUCUGAAUGGUUUGUAUUUUCAGGAUCCCUUUCUAACUUUUACAGGAUGCAGGACUUCGAUGAUAUGCACGUAGCCUAUAGAGAUGAUGCUCAGAGAGAGCGCUACAUAGCUCUCUAUCAGCGCCAUAUGGCGCCCACACGUUAUCCAGAUCAGCACUGCAUGGAGGCACUGGGCAUUGAGCCGAGUAUCCGAUUUCUGAGCCACCAGCUCCAUUGGGACGAGUUCGCUGACGAUCUGAGCAACACCUACAGGAACUUGACAUUGGAUUUCCUCAGUUCAUUUGAUUAUGACCCUUACUCUGGACCAGAUGGGUAUGCUGCUUUCAGACUUUUUGGGAUUGAGUAGUCCUUCAGCCAGAAGGAGUUCGGUGACCUAUUAGGCUUCCAGACCACCCCUGACGCUAUCCCUGAGAAACCUAUGGAAUAUUUUCUAGGGAAGGAAGUGGAAAAGUUCUGGAGUAACAUCUCAGGUGGAGGGAACCAGGAUCGUUCUACUCAGUUAUCCCAGGCUAUACAUAACCCUGCUUUUAGAUACUUCCAAAUGAUACUGGCACAUUCCUUCCUAGGAAGACCGGAUGCUGAGACGUUACUAAGUGAGGAGGAGAUCUUCCUACUAUUUUGUGCAUCCCAGUCUCGCCCAGUAGCAUGUGGGAACUUUCUGUUAUGUGGCCUCAGUGGUGUUUCUAGAUCGUCUGAAGGAGUCAUUCAUGUAGGAGGGAUCAUCACACAGAUCACCAUCGCCUUAGGUCUAUCUCGCAAGUUGUUACAUCUCCGGACCUACUGUGGGUACACUAAUAUGGAUAUCGACUCUUACUUGACCAGAGGGUUGAUAAGGAGAUCCUCCUUCAACCCAAGACAGUUCCGGUUGCUGGUCGAUAGCGAGGCGAUUCAUUAUUUUACACUGCCUGAUCCUAUGAUGACUAGCGUUCAUGACCCAGCGAACUGGAGUUAUGCCUUGAAGAGUCAGGGAGAGACUAUCGAGGAGCCGAGAUCACCACCUAUUGCUGAGUAUACGCCUACACCACCUUCACCCAGGAUCAUUGUAUUCUCUAACAAUUUAUCAUUGCAGACCCCAGACAUCCGCGCCCAGAUUGUAGAGUGUCAUAGAGAGAUUGUCGGGCUUAGACAGGAGGUGGCUGACCUCACCUUACAGAUGGGAGUAUCUGAUCUCACACACGCUACCGAGGCUGACUGUUUAUACCAGGAGACCGCAGAGCUUACGCAGGAGAUAUCCAUGCUCCGUGGAUCUACUCAGGAAGACGAACCCCCUACUAUUUAAUUUUACUAUCUCAUUUUAUUUUGUCUCAUUUAUGCUUAUAUUUUUCGCAUUUACCUAACUUAUUUUAUAUCAUUGCAUUUGGGAUAUUUUCUUAACUAUGUUAACACAUUGAUAUUUUCUACAUCUAUAUAUAUAUAAUAUAAUAUUAUAUAUAUAUAUAUAAUAAAUAAUAUAUAUUAUAAUAUGUGUGUUGUGUGUGUGUGUUGUGUGUGUGUUGUGUUUUUAUUUUUUUUAUUUAUUUACAAUUUUUAUUAUAAGUUAAAUAUAUUAAUUGUUUAUUUAUUUAUUAGUCCUUAAUGUUUAAAAUUUAUUUUUAUAAAAUUAUGCCAGCCUUAUGUCGAUAGGGAAAUUACAGAUGCCAAACGGCUAUCCGGACCCCCCAACCAAAAAGACAACGAGAAGCCCAAGCCAAAAUGACCAAAAUCCGGCCCAGCCGAAUUUUGCCUUGUGGCGCCCGCCACAACGUCUGUAUAAGCUCGGGGCAGACUCCCUUUCUUCACCAUUUUCACACCUUCAAACCUUCAAAACCCACUUUUCCACCUUGCAAAAACGCCCUUGAACCCCACAAAAGCUCACACAUUUCCCAUCUUCACACCAUACAAAUCAUUUUCUCAACUUCCAUUUUCAUUUUCAUCUGUCAAAUCUCAUAAAAAUCACACCUUUUUUUCAUACCCAUUUCAUCUUCUCAUCAUAUUGCAAGAGCUACAUAAUUAAAUUCAAUGGAUUCAUUCUUCUAGGAGGGAAACCGGGAGAUAGGCAAAGGAAGAUUAUCGAACGGUUGCAAAAUCGGGAGAUCCUUCCGACAAGGUAUGUUGAUGAAAAUUGUCUUUACACUUUGGGUAUCUACCAUAGCAUUUUUUUUAUUAGAUAAUUUAGGUUUGCAUAGUAUCUUUUCAAACAAAGAACCUACCUUUGAGAGAUUGACAAUCGAAUUUUUAAGUUCUUUAAUCUAUAUUGUCAAUCCUAACACUGCUAGCACAGUUGGUACUGUCCGAUUUAGAAUGUUUGUUGUUGAAUAUGAAUUCAGUACCGACGAACUAGCAAGCCUGUUAGGUAUUCCUCAUGGGGACGGUGCUAUUUGUUAGGCCCCUUUGGAUUCCGAUUGGUCGGUCGAGGUGUUUUCCUUCUGGCAGAGAUUGUCAAACACUUCCAUAAAUUCUUUUGAAGGAAUUCUUGCCUCGACCAUCCAUAACCCGGCCAUCAGAGUUUUUAGAUAUCUGUUGGCAUGUACUACUUUUGGCCGGGAGAAUCCAAAUAAGGUAAAUGCUCGAGAGCUUCUAUUUUUGCAAGGAAGCCUCACAAAUAGAAGAAUUAAUUCGGUCCCGUUCACGCUCGCUCAUAUGGCUUUAACUCUAAAUAAAGCAGGACCGAUUGUUUUCGGAGGAUUGAUUACGUCUAUUACUCGGGCGCUUAACCUGAACAAUGAGAUAGCUACCCUAGAUCCCUUACCUCCUCGCACAAUCAACCUAAAAUUUCUGAGAGACAUGAAAUUGUGUCGAUUGAGGAGAGAAGGAGGCUAUGUGCUUAUGGUUCAUGGUGUAGCUAUCCCAUCUGUUGUUUUACUAUGCACUAGACGUACUGAUGUACGUGAUGACAGGAAUUGGACCUAUGUUUUAGAUGCUCCACCUAUUUUGGGUCCUCUUCCUCCUAAUGUUCCUGAUGAGGAGGGACACGACACAGAUGAUGAAUAUGAUCAAAGAGAGCGAUCUCCCGUACCUCAUGUGUCCCCCCAUCACCCUUCACCACCACACACUGCACCAUCUUCUUCUUUUGCAGGUUCUGCUCCUGGCUUUUAUAUUACAGAGGAGAUGUGGCAUGACCACAUGGUUAGAGAGCAAAGGCGUGAUGACCUACUCUCUACCAUCCAACAACAACUGGCGGAUAACAUGAGCUUCAUGCAAGAAUCGCAGCGGAGGACAGAUAGAUCCUUUGAGACUGUUUUACAGUCCCUGCUUACGAUCACAGACCAGCAAGCCCGUCAGCAACAAUACCACCGUCAACAUACUGCACUCAUCGAAGCCACUCAGGGCUCCAUUUUGGGUAACAUUCGAGAGGUGAGGACUGCUCAGGAUGCCUUACAGGCCAUGAUGGAUCAACGAGACCGUCUUCGUACCCGAUCCCGUCGUCCACCUCAGGAUGGCGAAGGCACCAGUGGUCAGCAGUAGGAUGUCAGGUACCUCUCCCCUUAUCUUAUUUCGAAACAUUGGGGACAAUGUUCGAUUUAAGUGUGGGAGGAGACUUUAUUCGCUUUUCUUUGUUGUUUUCAGUUAGUUUGUUUAUUUUCUUUGCUGUUUUUAGUUAGUUUGUUUAUUUUUAUUGCUUUUUAGUUGUUUACCUUAUUUCAUUUUGCUUUUAGUUUGAGUGUUUUAGAUAACGCAUGAGUCUGACGAGUCACCAAGUAUAGUGUAUCCUUAGUACAGUCCAAUCUCCCCAUUCCUUUAGCCCUACCAAAAAUUUUUUGCAAAAGAAAACGGUGUUAUUCUGAAAGUUUUUGGGUUUUUAAAGACGGGUUUGAGUAAGGAUGCGGUGACUUGGGAGAACUUUUUGAAACAUCAGUAUUGUUUUAGCACCAUAGACUUCAUGAAUAUAGGAAUCAUUCCCGAAACCCCAUAUACCAUGGCCUUAGGUUUGAGUAAGGAUGCGGUGACUUGGGAGAACUUUUUGAAACAUCAGUAUUGUUUUAGCACCAUAGACUUCAUGAAUAUAGGAAUCAUUCCCGAAACCCCAUAUACCAUGGCCUUAAUCAUCAUUUUAGUAUAAGUCCUCAGUAGUUUAUUCCAGCAGUCAGCUCCGGCCUACGCAUCCUCUACGUAGGGGACUGAUGAACAUAAGUGAAUGAUCCAGUGAAUAAAUAAAAUAAAAUAAAGCAAAAAGGCAACUCCGGUAUAGGUGACUCUCACAAAGUCAUUUAAACCAAAAAGGUUGUAAAAAUUUGCUACAAAAGAAAAAGAAAAAAGAAAAACUCACCCAUUUUAGUUGGUUCAGAGGUAUCUGGCGCUGAACUCGGUAGGGCGGAUUACAAUCUGAUCCCCCACAACUGCAGUUGGGUCAAAUAAAAGGGUUUACACAACUUUAUGUUCCAGGAACCCCAUGUCUAGAUCAUAAUCACUAACAGGUCACUCUGCUAUGAAGCAUGUACGGAUAAUGGGCUUAAUGUGAUUGCGCCUGAAUGAAAAGGACACAAAAAGAGAUGAAGAGGCAGGCCUAGGUAUUGUGGGAUAAUAUGGGUUGGUUAAUAUAGGAAUGGAGUUUAUGUCCGUAUUUGCGGAUAAGUGUCAUCAUGAACCUUAAGUUCACUCAGUUAGUACCUAUCACUACAUCCCGACUUGAACUUAGAAAUCUUUUUAGCCCGAAACACUCGUUGACACCAUUUUUCUUCUAUGAACUUUUUAGUGUUUUGCUUGAGGACAAGCAAGGGUUUAAGUGUGGAAGAAUUUGAUGACAGUGAAAUUCACCGUAUUUUCUACUCCGAUUUCGCAUGCAUUUUAGUUGUUUUAUUGUUAUUUUGUUAUGUUAUUACUAUGUUUCUCUUUGUUUUUAGGUUUUUACUUUAAUCAGUGCCCCAAUCGAGAAAAGGAGUGAAAACGAGCUAAAAACCCUAAAAUUCAGCAUUUUACACUUUGUCCUCCCACUGUGGCUGGCGCCAUGGGACAGCCAUGACGUGUCACAACUCAACUUCCCUCAACUGCCACGUUCCCCACUACCUCCACUAUGGCGCCACAAUUUGCUCUUAUGGCGGGCGCCAUGGACUUGUGGCGGGCGCCACAAGAAGGAAAGUUUUCCCUCCAAUUUCAAACUGAAGGGCAUCCUUGUCAUUCUCAUUAUUUACUUGCCUAUAAAUAGAGACUCGAAUUCAUUUGUUUAUCAUCCAAACUUAGACAGAUGCAAACUUAGAGCAAACUUAGUUUCACUUAGGCAUAUAUUCAGUAUUUUAAAGUCGGUAAUCGCUUCGCAUUGGGGUGUUACCACAAUUGUGUAAUCAAGUCUGUGAUCGAGUCUGUAAUCGAGUCUGUAAUCGAGUGGAGCACUUUGGAAGGAAGUUAAUCCUACCGCCAUUUCAUUUUCGCUUCGCAUUUUAUUCAACCCUCCGAUUGGAGCAGGUUUUAUUGCUGCUUAGUUAAUUUAUUUUCCGCACUCGCUUUACUUUAUUUAUUUCCCGCACUCGCACUUUACUUUAUUUAUUUCCCACACUCGCACUUUACUUUAUUUAUUUUCUCGCACUCGCACUACUUUCAUUUAUUUCCCGCACUCACACUUUACUUUAUUUAUUUCCCGCACUCACACUACUUUUAUUUACUUUCCGCACUCGCACUACUUUUAUUUAAAUUAUAAUGCACCUUUACUUUAGCAUGUAUAACUAAAUCUAUAAGGUUAGAAUGUAAGGAUCGUAAUUAAAUCGAUAAUCCGUACAAUUGUUCGUAGAAACACUUAAGGGCUAUUUUAACUUUUAACUUAAGUUUUCCCGCACUUAAUUUCCGUUGGGUAAGAUCGAAAGCUGCCCAACGUCUUUUUAAACUUAAUUGUUUUUAACUAUUUCAAAAACAGCAAAAGCGCUUUGUUUAGUUCGUUAGGAGUUUUUAACUUAAGAAGAAAAGUGAUUUUAAAACUAUUUUUGGACGCGUUUAUAAUUUAGAGUCUGGUUCGUGAGAACCUCUUUUGGUUAAGAAAUCCAGGUUAAAAUACUUUUCAACUUAGUCAAGAUACUAUAUUUCUUAAAAAUAGUUUUACUACUCUAACGCAACGCGCGCCUUUUUAUAAGUGACAAUAAGAGGGUUUGAUUAGGGAGUACAACUCGGUUCUGAAUACGCGAAAGCGACAGUUCCUGUUAAAUUGGUUCUUUUCAAAGUAGGAAACAUUGUCCAUAAGUAGUUCUAUUAGCAAGUACUUGGAUUAUUAAUUGAUUAUGUGAAUUACAUUCGAACCUGUCUUUAUUAAUUGAACUUUAUUCAACACUUUACUUUUCAUUGCACACUCUAAAAACCAUUAUUUUGAUUACCUUGGAUAAACACCAUAACAAUAGGUAACGAUAGAUUGACACUUGGUUCUUGUGGAUUCGACAAUCUUUUAUAUUACUUUGACGCGUUCGUAUACUUGUGAAAAGCACGCAUCAGUCAACCCUAAACCCUAAUACCCCAAAUUCCAUCUUGAUCAUCAAUACAUUGUCCAUUUACAAAGAAAAUGCAAAAAAUGAAGUUUUGACCAAUUGUUGACUUUGGUCAACAGUUGACUUUUUGGUCAACUUUGACCAAAGUCAAUCCCCCAUUUUUUACCACCAAAAGCCUAACCUAACCUAAUUUGCCUUAAUUCUUCGCCCAAUUUCCAUGGUGGGUUGUGUCUUCUUUUUGUUGCUUCACUUCCAAGCAAGUGGUCUUGUUUCAACCUCAUACAUGUCAUGCCUUGUUUGACAUGUUGGCUCAUCAAGCCUUGGUAUUGGUCUGCCCUGAACUAGGUCCUACUACAGCACAUUGCAACACCAAUGAAUCCAGCAUGUAAGGUUUAACCCAAUUGCAAGUCACAAUGGAAAGCAUAAACUCUACCUUGCCUUCUGCUCCCUUUGUUGCUUGUUGUAAUGUUUGGCCUGCAUCAAGAUCACCAUACCGUUAUCACCAUGCUAGCCUGCUACUGAACAAAUCAUGCAGCAAAACAAGGCAAGCAGACUCAGUUACCAUGGCAAUGUAGUGCAAAGUAUUGUUCUAGUUGGUGUCAUGGUUCAGGCACACAACCAAGCAAACAUCAGGAUAUGAAUGCAAUGCUGCAACAAUCAUGCUAAGACAACAUGCAGCAGGCAUCCAACAUAAGCAUCAAGCCAAGGCAUAACAGCUAUAAAGAAGUUCAAGGGUGGAAAGCACUUAACAUGGUUCAGUCAUAACAGUUCCAUAAUUCAAACAGCUCCAUUUGCUCCAGCCCUGUGUAAUACCAGCUUGCAACAUUCCUUUGUGACCUGAGAUCAAUGUGAACCUGCAAUGUAAGAGCAACUUCACACAUUGAAGCAUCAAUCCAUAUUGACCAUGAUGCUACUGUCCAUACCAGGGUGCAUACUAGCUGAACCAGGCUAGUUAUCCUACUACAAAACCAAGACAGAAACAGUCAAAUCAUUGAGAGACAUCACAUCCAAAUUGGUUAGCAUCAUGUUCAAGAAGUUCAACAUACCUCAAGCUUCACAAACCAUUUAAGGCUUGUUUUACCUUGCUCACAUCAAUGACAGCCAAGCCAACAAGCAUGGCAUUCUCACACCAAACCAACUGCAUAUCAUUGCCUUUCAAGCCAUAACCACUGAGUCUUCAAGCCAUGCACAUAACAGCUAUUGAGCUAACAUCUAACUGCAUCAACACCAACAAGCAGCAGACCCAUUGCAGCAGGGAUAUGGCAUAUGCUAGGAGGGCAACUUACCAAACCAGACUCCAACUAAUUGAACCUAACAACCUUGAUAACUUUGUCACCCAAACUAACAGUAGAAGCUCAUUACACCAACAAAGCUAACAAAAUCCUAGGCCAACAUUAAAUCAUCCCACUGCCGAACCCCUGUUGUUGCAGCAUAUGAGUCAAAGGGUAGAGGAUUCAAGUUGUCAAUUUAUAAGACUAUAUGCUACAGCAUGGCAUGAACACAACAAUUGGCCACAUACUGGUCUCACAAAACUGCAUACAACCAUUCACCAUAAAUAAACAUGAAGUCAACUUGUAGCAAGGAAACGGUUCCAAACCUAAGGCAUCCUAUGAACCUGCAACAAACAUGUUCUAACUUCAUACCAAACACCAAGGGUCAAGCGAAACCUCCAAAGCUUGUGUCAAGCACAAUAGUUAUCAAGAGCCAUCAAUCUAGACAUGUAAACCAGCCAUACAAAGCCAUACAUCUAGCCACUUGAAACUCACCAUAACAGGGAUGAUUCCUGCAGCAACAAUUCCUGCAACCAAUAAUGCAACAAGCACCAAAUCUGAACCAACAUUGCAAAACAUCAUGCUACAGACUCAGUCCUGCACCAACAAAACAUUUACCAAGUAUAAAAUCCUAUUGAGGCUGGCCACUGAAUGCAAUGUCAUGCACCACAAAGCAAAACCAAGAAGGAUCUCACUUGCUGCAGGAGCAUUGGCCAGGUUGGGAUUUGGGACAGUAGGCCAUCAACCUGUUGCAAGUGGGCAUCUUACCACAUCAAUCAUCAUGCCACUAGUUCAGUGGGAUAAUGAAAUGAAGAGAGUAGGCCAACUGUUGUAAGUAAGACCCUGUAGUGGGAAACUCAACACCAUUGUCCUGAACUAUGAGGGAACUACUAGCACAUUGAGCUUACUUGAAUCAUGAAGUUAGAAGCAAAGUGCAUUGGCCCUGUAUCCUGCAGUAGCCAAAGCCAGCAUGAGCCUUACACACAAAAUCCAUACUUACCACCUGCUGAACUGAACGAGGGUCCAACAUAGAAUUUCAAGACCAAUGGUGUAGAAGUAAUACCUCUUCAUCACAGUGUGUACAUCUCAAAGCCAGACAUGGUCCAAACUUGCAUCACAGGCUACCAUGGUUAGACCUUAGUUUGAACAUGCUAUGCACAGUUCAUGAUGCAGCAAAAGAAACAAGUGAGAGCAGGAAUUGAGUGCAAACAAUGGGAUUAAAACUUAUGAAGCAUUGAACCAAAGCAUGUACCAAAGCCAUUCAUCAUCUCAAUGUACAAACCAAAGUCACUUGAUUUUUCAACUUACAACAUGAAUAUUAGGUCACCACUUAACUUGCUCCACUUAAAAGCCACCUGCUACAGCCAGUGCACAUCAAAAAAAUCACUAACCUUCAUGUUUCAUCAUUCCAAGCCAAGUAAAGUCACUUAAACUCAACUGGUAACUUGGACAAUAGGUCACUAAAAACAACUCCAACACAACUUCAAUCUCAUUCCAACCUACAACAGCCAGUGGAAAUUCUUUUCACUCACUCAUUAACCAAUUUUAACCAACUAAGUUGAUUCUAACUAACUGAGUUUCACCAUGAACUCAGUGAGUUGAAUGCAACUAACUCCUAGCCUAAAUAUAACAGUUUCCAAUCCUAACUCCAAGACUAAACACCUCUAAACCUAAACUCCAUUUAAACAGUUCAUCACUCUCAUUUUCAUCACUUUUUUUGAACCCUGCAAAUUUAAGCAAUCUCUCUGCAACCUCUCAUCACCCUCACCAAAGCUCUCUUAUUCUCUCUCACAGAAAAGCCAUUGAAGCUUCACAUUGAAGCUUCAAUUCAGUUUGAGCUAAGCCACCUCACUCUCACUCUGUUAUCAGUUCCAAAGUUUCAGAAGAAGAAGAAGGAGACGAAAAGAAGAAGAAGAAGGAAGAAUCAAGAUCAGAUGAAUCACCGGCGAAUUAUUCUGAUCGUCUUCUCCGGUAUGUAAUUUCCGUUUCAGUUGUGUUUUCCUGCUUUGAGCUCACCAAUUGAUAGCAUUUGAAAUAGGGAGUAGAACCCCCAUGGUUAUGAGGUUUAGGUUGCAUCAUUUGCUAUUUAAUUUAGCUUGUAGGCCUUAGGGUUCUUCUCCUCAGAGGUGCGAUUUGGCCGGUGAAAGGAGCAUUCCUCCAACUCAUGUCUGUUUUCAUGUUCAUCUUGAAUCGGCGUUUUGAUUGAGAUAGGAUUUAAGACCUUAGGCUAACACCGGCGCCAGUGAUGGCCGCCGGUGCAGCGGACCAUGGACAUUUGUGGUGGUGAGAGCGAGCGCGCAUUUUUGAGAGAGUUUGAACUCUGUUGACUUGGACAAGUCAACAGAGAUGAGGAUUGGGCUUAAGUGUUCAAGCCCAUGGUGUUUUACUCCCCAUACACCGUUUUCACUAAUGCACCCCCCAGAGAUUAGUGAUGAAAAUGAACUUGGGCUUCAGGAGGCCCAUUAACACAUUUUCUAAUUUCCCACGCGAUUUCAGUGUUGCACCCCCUGUUUGGAAUGUUUGCUGAAGCAUUGGGCUCAUAUGGCCCAUUGCCAUUUAGCUGCUUGCACCCCCUUGUUUUUUGGGAUUUUCUCUGGCUAUACAAAAAAAUCAGUGGUGGGCUCAACUGGCAGCCCAUUAUUCUAAACUCAAUCCACACCCCUUUUAAUAAAUACACCCCUGUUUCUAAUUUUAUUUGUUUUCUUUGAUUUUCUUUUAUUGUUUUGCAUUUUUAUUAGGCAAAUUAGAUUGUUGGUUUAAUUAGGUUAAUAAAUCUUGAUUUUAGGAUUUAAUUAGCAUAUUAGGAUUUAAAUAGAAUUUUUCUUAGAAUUAAUUAGGUUUUUUUCCUUAGAAUUUUAAUUAGGAAUUUUAGUUAGGUUUAAUUAGAAACAAAUAGAUUUGAUUAAAUUUAGAUUCAUCCCAUUUUCAACAUUAGGAUUAGAAUUCAUCUUUAGGAUUUAAUCAACUUUAAACCAUGGUUAGAAUUUGACAUAUUUUCACUAUUGACCAUUUUGCCCUUAUGGGCUUAUUUUGUCAUUUUUGUGUUGAAUUGCAUGUUCCCCUUAGGAUUAGAAUACAAUUAAUUGUAGGACUUAACAUAGAAUUUUAGUCAUGAUUUUAGUCAAUAUUUUGGCAUGCUCCCUUAGGAUUUCUAAUCUAACUUAGAAUAUUCAACCAAUUUCUAAGGCAUGAUCCCUUAGGUUAGUUCUAACAAUUACUAACUUCAAUUAGAUCCAAAAUUAGUUCCCCACAAAAAUAAAACCAAACCCCCGAUUAAAUUGAUAAAAAGCAAUUUUGAUUAAUUAAAUCCUUUGAACUUGUAUAAUCCCCCAGUCUAAUUGAGUUGCCAAAAGACCCUUGGUCACUUAGUAGGACUUUUCUUUCACGCUGUGGAGCUCAAGGCCUUGAGACAAGAUCUUCAUUCAAGGCAUCCUUAGUUAUACCAAGCAGCGGAUUAUUCAAGCACAUCAAAGGUGGCGUCUUCAACUUCAACUUAUUCAAGCACAUCAAAGGUGGCACCUUCAACACUUGUUAACUCAAAGUUAGAAGAAUGUGACGCAAGCCUUAAGCAAUAGAGAAGGAGUGAGACUGGAGUAUUCCUACCCCCAUUCUGAGUAUCUUUGGGUAUGGGACGUAUGACCCAGUGCUCAUCGUAUUCACCUCUAAUCAUAGACUUUAGCACAAUUCUAAUCAUAUGAUUAACAAGUCUAUCUUCACAAAGCAAAAACAACAAAAGCAAGGACAAUGUCAACAACUUAUCAAUCAUGAAUCAAGUUGUACGAUACGAGCCUUAAGUAAUGGAGAAGGAAUGGGACUGGAGUAUUCCUACCCCCAUUCUGAGUAUCUUUGGGUAUGGGACGUAUGACCCAGCGUUCAUCGUAUUCACCUUCAUUCAUAGACUUUAGUUCCAUUUGAAUCGAACCAUUGAUAAAGUCUUCAUCAUCAUUGCAAGAAACAACUACGAAGACUCUUCUCUCUCCACUUGAAAGUUAGUGUGAUUCUCAUCAUCCAGUAACUAUCAAGUCUAUCCAGUCUUUAUUCUAUUCAAUUCUUAAUCAUUCCAUUCAAAUCAUUUCAAUCUCAAUCAUUCAUUUCUUCUUGCCCCCAUUCAAUUUCUUUUCAGCCCUAGUGGGCUGAACUACGAAAGCUCUGAUUUCCUCAUUGCACAAUGAGGGUACGUAGGCAGGAGAACCCGGUUUCUUUGCGAGCUAUCUUAUUUAUCAAUCUAUCUCCUCUAUCCCAUGGAUCACUCUCCAUUAAUGCAACCAAUACAAUCUUUUGAGAUCAAUCAUACUUCUCCUUGGACUCCUUGUCCAUCCUUUUAGGACGUCCUGAGGACAGUCCGUCUCUUCAAUCGAGGUUUGUUUAGCGCUUAUCCCAAACACUAACUUCUCCUUUGUUUGGCGCUUAUCCCAAACACUAACUUCUCCUUUGUUUGGCGUUUAUCCCAAACGCUAACUUCAUCCCUUGUUUGGAGCUUAUCCCAAACGCUAACUUCAUCCUUUGUUUGGCGCUUAUCCCAAACGCUAACUUCAUCCUUUGUUUGGCGCUUAUCCCAAACGCUAACUUCAUCCUUUGUUUUGCGCUUAUCCCAAACACUAACUUCCUCUUUGUUUGGCUCUCAUCCCAAACACUGACUUCAUUCUUUUUCGGCUAACACGCCACUUUGCUCUUCGAUUGAGAGUCUAUCCUUCUCUUGGAUCCAAGAUACUAUCCUGAUUUGAUCUCGAAUUGUCGAUUCCCCAGCAAGUGAUAUAAUACUCUUUGCAUUCCAAUACUGCAAACAUCCCUCUUCCUCUAUUCUCGUAGUUCCGAACUACGAUUGCUCUAACUUUCUCAUUGCACAAUGAGAAUACGUAGACGCGAGGAUGCGAAUCCUUGGCGAGCAUACCAUUAAUUAUUCCUUCUUCCGCCUUAGGGCAUCACUCAUAUUUUUCACAAUUCAUUACCUAUCUUCGAUCAUAAAUCGUUCAUCUAGUGACAUACUAUCUCUUUGACAUCGAAGUACACCUCCUUUGGUAUUCCAUAUACAUCCUUUUAGGACGCCUGAUAUAGUCCGCAUUUCAUGCCUAGAGUUGUUUGGCUCUCAUCCCAAACAUUUAUAUCCUUAUUUUUAGCUAAAACCCUACAGUGGUGGUCCGCUAGUCCACGUAUUGGUUAACAUUGUUUCCCUCUAUGGUAGAAAUCCCAUUUCUCUUAUGGAUUCCAAUACACUUAUACCUUUCGAUUUCAAACAAUACUUAUUCAGUCACUUGUUGCCGAGUUCCUCUAUUCUAUGACUUCGGUCACUUCACUCCGUUCAUUCCACGAUACAUUCGUAUUCUACCUUCCUUCACUCCACGUGAUACACCUUUAUCUUUGAUCCAAAUACAUUAUACCUUUGUGCUUCAUCUUGUACCUCCUUGUGAAUCAAGAGUUGUUUGGCCCUUACCCCAAAUACCUAAUUCCUUUCUUUUUUGGUUAUUCCAAUACAAUGAUACAAGUGAUAUACGCCCUCACUAGUUGGUUCACACAAGUUUUACUCUUGGGUUCACAUUUUCACCCCUUCAUUUGGAGUUCAAACAAUAUUAUCCUUUGGUUUAAGUCAUACCUUCUAUCACACUCCUUUCCACCUCCUGCCUCUAGUUCUUUGAACUACGGAGCUCUGAAUUCCUCAUUGCACUAUGAGGAUACGUAGGCAUGAGGGCCCCAAUCCUCACCGAGCACUCUAUCUAUUUCCCCUUCCUUUCCCCUUAUUCUUUUGCGAGUAAUCUUAGAUCUAACACCUAUUCAAGCGAGAACAAUCAAAAUGGUUCCCAUGGAGUACCAUGGAUGUUUGGGGUGCUAAUACCUUCCCCUUGCAUAACCGACUUUCUUACCCAGUACAUCUCUUUCCCCCGGGUUUUAUCGAUGUUUUCCCUUCCCUCUGGGGAUAAAUAAAGUUCGAUGGUGACUCUGUUGUAUGUUCGAGCGUGCGAUACGUUCGGGUAUAUUUCUGCUAGCUUCAACAUCCUUUAAUUAUUUUCGUCAACCCUUUGAUGACGACAUUCACUAUAUUCCAUCAACCCUUUGAUGAUGCCACUCCAUAGUGAAGUUUCUUUCCGUCAACCCUUUGAAAUUGUCAACCCUUUGACGAUGGCAGUUUCUUUUCGUCAACCCUUUGACGAUGGCAGUUUCUUUUCGCCAACCCUUUGACGAUGACAAAUUCUUUUCCACCAAUCCUUUGGGGAUGACAUCCUUUAAUUAUUUCCAUCAACCCUUUGAUGACGACAUUCACUAUAUUCCAUCAACCCUUUAAUGAUGACAUUCAAUAUAUUCCAUCAACCCUUCGAUGAUGAUAUUCCCUAACAAUCUCAUUGAAAGAAUAAAAACCCUACAAAAGUAUCCAAGUACCCAACUGCAUUUCCACAUGCAUCACAUGCAUCAAUUCAUGCAUAAUUUUCCUGCCUAAACAUGAAUUUCAUCAAACACAGUCAUAUCAAUCACCAGCAUCCCCAUGCAUAGCACUCCCACAAAAUGGGAAUUUCAUCAAAAAAUUAAUAAAAUAAUUCGCAUUCCUACACGUAUAUCCAAGAAUCCCCAGCAAUUGAAUACUACAUACAUAUCAUGCAUCAUUCCAUGCAUGGUACGUCCACCCAUGUUAUACAAAACAUCAAACAUAAAAUAUCAGGAUCUAGGGUCAUUCAUAUGUAUCCCAGACUUUCCUCAUUUAACUCAAUGGAGUUAUUAUCCUGCAUGUGCUUGUGGAAUUAUUUCUCAGUAAGUCAUUUUCAACUUUAUGGUUGAUAGUAAUAUUCCCCAAGCAGAGGUUACCCUAAAAAGUCUCUUAUGAGCUUCUCCCCUGCAGAGCUUUUCCAGCAAAUUUCCUCCAAAGGGAGUCGUUUCUAAAAUAUUUCCCCCAACAGACAAACAUUUGAGAUACUGCUUCAUUUAUCUAAAGAAUCUCAUUUAUCUAUUUGAGAUACUGCUUCAUUCAUCUGAAGAAUCCCAUUUAUCUGUUUGAGAUACUGCUUCAUUUAUCUGAAGAAUCUCAUUUAUCUGUUUGAAAUACUGCUUCAUUUAUCUGAAGAAUCUCAUUUAUCUGUUUGAGAUACUACUUCAUUUAUCUGAAGAAUCACAUUUAUCUGUUUGAGAUACUGCUUCAUUUAUCUGAAGAAUCUCAUUUAUCCGUUUGAGAUACUUUUUUCAUUUAUAUGAAAAAUCUCAUCUAUCUGUUUGAGAUAUUGCUUCAUUUAUUUGGAGAAUCUCAUUUAUUUGUUUGAGAUACUACUUUAUUUAUCUGUUUGAGAUACUGCUUCAUUUAUCCGAAGAAUCUCAUUUGUCUGUUUGAGAUACUGCUUCAUUUGUCUGAAGAAUCCCAUUUAUUUAUUUGAGAUACUACUUCAUUGAUAUGAAGAAUCUCAUUUGUUUUUAGAUACUGCUCUAGUAUCCUCGAAGAAUCUAAUAUACGAUUGAGGUAACAUUCCCUUGUUAUAAUAUCUCGAUUAUAUCAUGUAAGGUGUUGUUUCGUUGAUCCUCAGAGAAUCUCGUAUUUUCAAUUCAAGACACUUCUCUGCUAAUGUUCAGAAAGUCUUAGAUUCAGUCGAGGUAUCAUUCCACUAUUGAAAUAUCUCAAUCAUGGCAUCCAAGAUACUGUUCUGCAUUUCUUCCUUGCAUUUCAAAGGAUAAAAUUCGGGUCUUUUCGUAUUUAAUUAUCUUCCACCAUAAAUGUAUGAAGGCUGCUGUCAUUCAUACUUUCUGGUUCAAGGUAAUUAAAUAGAGGCAUCUGUCAUACCCCAAUUUUGUCUGGGCAUUUUAAAACUUUCAUAAGUUUGAUUUUAUUUUUAGUUUGCAUCAUUUGUAUAGCAUGACAUGCAUUUCAUCAUGAAUAAUACCUAAAAUAUCAGUCGGAAUAAAUUCUCGAAUAUACAGACAAAUUGACUAAAUCAUUCAUCAAGUACGUCCAAAAGUAGCGAGUAAAAAGUUUCGAAAUCAAGCUUGCAAACAUCACUAUUAUUAAUCUACGGUCUGCGUAGUCUAAUAUGGUAUGCUCGUUUUAUUUUUAACGACUUUUUCGAUUGCAUUUUGAUCCGUCUGAGCCUUUUAACCGGUUAAAAUUUAUUUCAAAAUUAAAAGAAACAUUGUAUUUUUUCAAUAAGUAUAUUUCGUGCUGAUCAUUUUAGUGCAUCCGAUUUAAUUUUUUGAAUAAAUUUUCGCUCGACUUUUAUUCAAUUUUAGUCGUUUUAAUUUUGUUCUUUCGCCUAAAUAUUCAGAAAAAAUAAAUAGAAUUUUCCAUGUCCUUAUUUUAUUUUUCUCAUACUCAUUUUAGAAGUUGGAAUUUUUAUUUGAUUCAAUUGAUUUAAAUUGUUUUAAAACGAUUAAAUCAUAUAAAAAGGGUAUUAUAGACAUUUUAAUUUAUUUAAUAAUGUGUGCUUCUUGGUGUGUUUCUUUGAAUUAACCAUGAUCAUUAUAGCAAGAUUAAUCAAUGGUCCUCAUUUGUAAUCCAUGCCCAUUUCUCUUAUCCAACCACAAAAUAGGAGGAAAUAGUAAUAUUAAAAAAAAUAGUAAAGGAAAAUGAAAUCCCCACUAGGAUAUCACACGCGGCCAGCUGGAUGAGGGAUGGAUGAAUUCCGUUAGAAAUUGGGGACAUGUGAUGAAAGUUGGCAAUGCAAAUCCACUCACAAGAAACGACUUUCAGGAAGAAAAAAAACACUACAAGAGACACAUCAUCCUCUCCAACAAAAAAAAAUGAAAAAGAAAAAGAGAGAGACCAUUAAAAAAGGGAGGCUGGGAAUGAAUCUACGGAUCUAUCUCGGCCAAUAGGAAAGGAGUUCUGGGAGAAAAGAAACAAAAGAAUCUUCUUCUUCAUCCACAUUCAACACACCACACCGUCCACCGCACGAACUGCUCCUUCAACUCAUCGCCUUCCAUCACAACGACGAUUCAACAAACUCCGAUCCACCACAAAUUACCCUUUCUCUCUCUAAUGCACAACGGACUCUUCUUCACCCGUCGAGGUCGACCUCUCCAUCUCUGAUCCGUACUCCAUCCCCAUCAAAACGCCACAAGCAAGAACAUCAACUUAUCACCUACAAACCGAUUGUAAUACCGUUAAACCCAUUCACCGGCAACAGAGAUGUACAUCAGGUUUGGUGGAACUCAACAAAAUGAAGCAUCUCCAAUUCAGUUUUGUUUCAAACAACAAACAUCUAACUUCCGGCGUCGACCAACAUAAUCAAUGCGUUAACACUGCUCUCACCACACGACCUUCACUCCGCGACGCCUGAUUUAUACUCCGAACAUCCAUCACCAAGUGAUCUUCAAAUGUAAUCCAGCUGUCAAACCACCCAACAGCUACAAAGUGCAGCCACUACUCGAUUCUGAUUUUGAAAAAUUGGUUUAUCCGGUGUUACAGCGAUUUGUGUACUAAUAUUACUGGCCUUGAUCUUGUUCGUUUAUCAUGCUCAAGUUCAAUAAGUUCGGCAUUCCGGUGGUAAUCUUUGAUAUCGAUCUUCCAUUAUGUUUUUGUUGUCUUAACCAUUUUCAGUAUGCUGAUACUCUUUUUUAAAAAAAAUUGUGGUACAUUCUAUCUUGGUCAGGAAAACGAUUUGAAAUUCUGGUAUCAGAUAUGAGAUGUCGAAGGUAAUGUCAUGACACUAAUAUCUGAACAAUACAAACAGGAUAAAAGAUUAAAAAAAACAGUAAUGCAAGAGACACAAGCAAUUGUUAACCCAGUUCGGUGCAAACUCACCUACGUCUGGGGGCUACCAAGCCAGGAAGGAAAUCCACUAAACAAAAUCAGUUCAAAGACUCUUAGUAAACAACUUCAAGUUACAUCCUUUUCACCUAAUCUUUAUCCGUGUGACUUCUACCUAAGAACUCUUAGAUAUGAGAUCCUACUCACUCCCCCUCAAUCGCAGCAGUGAUAUAAAAUAAGAAUUACAAUGAAAAGAAGACACUCUUCAAAGACACAUACUUGAUCUUACUUAAAAGCUUCAAUCAAGUAAACACACACUCAUGCUUCAAAGCUUAGAGUGGACAAAUAAAAAUAAGAAUUACAAUGAAAAGAAGACACUCUUCAAAGACACAUACUUGAUCUUACUUAAAAGCUUCAAUCAAGUAAACACACACUCAUGCUUCAAAGCUUAGAGUGGACAAAUUACAACUCAAAAGUCAGUCCAAUUCAAUCAUCUAUGGAUGAAUGAAUGGCUUACAAAACACACGACCACACAAGACUCAAACCCUUAUUCUCUCUCAAUAUAUCGUUCGUUAUUUCUUGUGUGUACAACCAAGUUUUCCAUGUCCUUUAUAUAGAAGCAAUUGGUUGGGCUUGGACAUCAUAAAACCCUAAAACUAUUUUCCAUUCAUAUCUUCUCAUGACAGCUGAUUAUAUCUCCUUGGAAAAUAAGUCAAUCUAGUUGUAAUUACUAAUUGAUAGCGCGUUCAAUCAUCUCAUCAAUCAUACAUAGAUUAGCAUUAAAAACGCAAUCACAUAAUACAUAACAUUCAGACUGAAUGUUCUGUAUACAGAUGCCAUGACAUCGGGUCUGACAUCUCAGUAAAAUCCUGCAUAAUCACAUUUUAAACACCUUGCAGGUACAUGUUAUCUUAUGUCAAGACAACACUUGUGACAACUUGUGAACAUUCUAGGUUUUACCAAAAUUGCUGCCAACACAUAGAACCAACAAACUCCCCCUUUGGCAAAUUUUAGCUAAAACAUAUAUCAGUCCAUUUGUUCACAAGAGUAAAAAACAUAUCAACAGUUAAGCAGCAGCAGAAGUAAUAAACCACACAUUUACUAGCUAUAAUAGCAACUAGUAAACACACAUUAAACACAUAUGUGCUUCUUCUCCCCCUAAGUCUGUUCAACACAGACAUCUCCUUCAACAACACCUAUAACGUCCAUCACCCCAUCUGACAUCUCCUUCAACAUCACCUCUUCUCCACAAAACAUCAUCCUGUUUAACAUCAGCUGUCAUCUGUUUAUAGCCUAGCUACUUCAUAACACAUAUUCACUGCAGCUCUCCUAUAGCUACUUCUCCCCCUUUUUAGUCAAAAUAGACCAAAGAGACCAAUGAGACAAAAUAAAUGUCUAUUAGUCCAACAUAGAAUGUCACAUAGAAUGUUAAAACAUAUAGAAUGUUAAAACAUAUAGAAUGUUAAAACAUAUUGUCAGGUGUUACAUAACCACAAUUAUACACAACUAUAUAAGCUGAGAUAAAAAGAAAUCCAGAGAAAUCACAAGGAGAACCCAAAAAUUACAUCAAGGCAUCAAAAUAAGACUUCCAAAAAAACAUAAAACAUCAAACAUCAAACAUCAAGGCAUCCAGAACAGCACAUCAUUAUAACAGGGGAACCAUCUUCACCACCACGCAGUCAGAGGAGCUAGCAUCUUCAUCAGCUUCAGAUCCAGAACUGCCACUUGAUUUAUCUUGAGAUUCAGACCUCUCACUUGAGGUGUCGGCAUCUGUGUCCUUGGCUUGACCAAUAUUAUCCAUAUCUCCUUGCUCCAAGCUAUUAAUCAGAACCUCCAGAGCUUCUUUCCUAGCUUUAGCCACCCUUAUCCCAGUCUCCAAUUCCUUACAGGUCUCUUUCAGUUCAGCAAUCGGGCCACCUUGAGAGGAUGGCUUCUUUACAGCAGAUGUCAUGACAAUGUCAUUGACAUGACUGCCUUCAAAUAAUUUGUAAUGAAGUAACAAUGGAGGUUUUCUUCUACCAGGGAUAUCACUUGUGCUCAGUAUUCCAGGUUGCUGGCUUAGGAUUAUCCCACAAAUUAUUGAGGGAAAAGCAAUGGGCAGCUUCACUACAUUUGUAGAAGCAUGUUUGACAAUUUGUUCAAACAUGAAUCUUCCAUAAUCAAAAUUAAGCUUGGUUCCAAUAGCAAAUAUAAGCCUUCCAAGAGCAUUUGAGAUUGUAGAGAUGUGAUUUGUUGGUACCCAGUUUGUUGACCCUAUCUUAUGCAAGAUAGCAUAUUUCACAGUUAAUUUUCCAGCAGAGAGAUGCUUCUUGCUUGGCCACUCCUUGACCUGUCCAACAGUUAUUUUCCUACAGACUUCAUUGUCUGUGGCCUCUAGUUCAACAACACCUUCUGUUCCUCUUCCUAGGAACUUAUUGAUCACAGUUGGAGAACACUUUACACACUUUCCUCUAACAAACACCUUACAAAACUCUUUGAUGUUAUUGUCAGUAAUGUCCUCAGGGAUGUUCACCACAAAGUCUUUAACAAGACCUUCAAAACAUUGAGAUAACCCACUAACUAUUUUCAUUAAACCAGCAGACUUAAUCAGGUCCAUGACCUCCUUAACUUCCACAGCAUCCUUUCCCAGUUCUCUUUCCACAGCCACUCUCCUUUGGAUUACAAAUUUCCACUUGGCUGCACCAUCUUCAAGAUGGAAGGAAAUGUUAUCCAGAUGCACAGCAACAACCUUUGCAGGAGAUUUUCUAACAUUUGAUCUUUUGACAGGAGAUAUGUCUGGGACAUCAUCUUCAAUAUCUUCCUCUGAAUCAGAACUUUCUCUUACCUUUCUCUUCUUUACCUCUAUUUUACUCCAAGACUUUGAAGGGCCUACAGCAGUAGCCUUCUUACCAAUUUUGGCUGUCAUCAUCUCAGCCACAAACCUUCCCUUUCUGGUCUUCAUUCUCUUUGCAACACUUGGCUUCAAGUGAUGAAGCAAGCUAUCAUCUUCAUCAUCUGAGCUUUCUUCUUCCAAGUCAAUCACCUUCUUACCAGAGUCAUGCUUCUUAGACUGAGAAACAUCUACAGAUUUCUUACUAGGCAAGGUUUGCCCUAAAGAACACAGUCCUUCUGUAGCAAUAUCUUUCUCAGACCUAGAUAAAUCAUCAUCUUUCUCAUUGUGAGGUUCAACUUCAGGAGAAGGGUCCCUUCUAGACAGAGGAGUAGACACUCCCUUUGCAGAGUGUCAUUCAUUUAGGAUCCUCGUGACAAGAUUUCUAAUGACACAAUCAGUAUGAUGCAUGUCAUCUUUAGAGGUAGGGUUAUCAGAAUUGUUACCUUGAGUAUGUCCAGCAGUGGAGGAUGGACCAGGAGCGUCGCUUGGGAUGACUGAUAGGGGAAUCACUUCCAAAAUGUCCUCAUGAAGAAAGUCCAUAGAGGGUGUUCUAGCUUUGUGCGCAGGUUUAGUGUUUUUAGAACCAGAAGAUGAAGGAUGUUGUGACAUCUUGUUGAGCUUGUGAAAGAAUUUUUGUUGAUGGUCGAUGAAGUUUGAGGAAGAUGGAAGUGGUUGAGCUGAGGUUGCGUGUGAAAAUGCUAUAAAUGGUAGUUCCAAUACUGGGUAAUGAUUUACCAUAAAUGGGGCACUUUCUUUUAAGUGGGCAGACAAUAUUUUUAUUACCUUUUCCACUCCAAAUUAAUUGCUAUAAAUUCUCAUGGAUACAAAUCCCUAAUUUCCCUCUUAAACAUUCAAAUUGAUUAGCAUCCAAAGCCUUUGUAAAUAUGUCAGCUAAUUGCAUUUCAGUAGUAACAUGCUCUAGGGCUAUGACUUUUUCUUCCACCAGUUCUCUAAUAAAGUGAUGACGAAUAUCAAUGUGUUUUGUCCUGCUGUGCUGAAUAGGAUUCUUAGAAAUAUUUAUAGCACUUAGGUUGUCACAGUACAAUGUCAUGACAUCUUGCGCGACAUUGUAUUCAGUCAGCAUCUGUUUCAUCCAAACCAGUUGAGAACAACUACUUUCAGCUGCUAUGUAUUCAGCUUCAGCGGUGGAAAGGGACACACAAUUUUGUUUCUUACUAAACCAUGAUAUUAAGUUGUUCCCCAAGAAGAAACAUCAUCCUGAUGUGCUUUUCCUAUCAUCAGCAUUUCCAGCCCAGUCAGCAUCACAGUAUCCAGUUAGCAUAGAUCCAGAACCAUAAGUAUACAACAUCCCAUAGUCACUGGUGCCAUUGACAUAUUUCAGUAUCCUCUUCACUUGGUUUAUGUGACUGACUUUUGGUUCAACUUGAGGAGGUUCACUCUCAUUAUUUUUGUCUAGGAAAUCAACUGGGGCAUCAUUUAGAGAUGUCUCAACAUCAUAUGUGACAUCCGACUGUUGAUCAUCAACCAUAACAUUGAUAGAUUCCAUCAUUACUUUUGUUCUGGACUUAAAGACUCUAUAUGCUCUGUUGUUUGUUGAAUAGCCCAGAAAUAUUCCUUCAUCACUCUUGGGAUCCAUCUUCCUUCUUUGUUCACGAUCAGUCAAGAUAUAACAUUUGCUACCAAACACAUGGAAGUAUUUGGACUGUUAGGUCUUUUCCUUCAGACUUCAUACAAAGUAGUUAGGAGUCCCUUUCUUCAAGGUUACUCUGUUGUGAACAUAGCAGGCUGUGUUCAUGCUUCAGCCCAGAAGUGGUAGGGAAAUUUCUUAGCAUGAAUCAUAGCUCUGGCUGAUUCUUGGAGAGUUCUAUUUUUCCUUUAUACCACACCAUUUUGCUGAGGCAGGAAUGGGAGAUGAGAACUCAUGACUAAUUCCUAUGAUGCACAGAAUCCACCAAAUUUGCUAUUUCAAAUUCCUUCCCAUGAUCACUUCUGAUUUAUGAUACCUGGGACUUUCUUUUUCUCUUUGAAGUCUUAGACAAAGAUCUUUGAAGACUUCAAAUACAUCAGAUUUUUCUCUUAUAAAAUUGACCCAGGUGUAUCUGGAGAAGUCAUCCACCACUACAUAAGCAUAUGUCUUCCCACCAAGACUUUCCACCUGCAUGGGACCUAUCAAAUCCAUAUGGAGAAGUUCCAGCACUCUGGAAGUGGUGUCAUGUCUGAGCUUCUGAUGUGACAUUUUUGUCUAUUUUCCAAUCUGACAUUCCCCACAAACUCUUCCUUCAUCAAUCUUCAACUUUGGAAUUCCUCUAACAGCUUCAACAGAUAUAAUCCUCUUAAUUCCUUUAAGAUGCAGAUGGCCCAAUCUUUGAUGCCAUAUCUUCACUUCUUCUUCUUUGGCUAGAGUACACAUUGAUAAAUAACCAGUUUCUUGAGAACUCCACAUGUAGUAGUUGUCCUUAGACCUGACUCCUUUCAUGAUCACUUCAUUUUCUUUAUUAGUAAUCAGACAUUCAGGUUUUGUGAUGUUUACAGUUAAACCUUGGUCACACAGUUGUUGAUGCUUAUUAGGUUUGCAGUCAGUCCCUUAACAAGUAGGACAUUGUCAAGGUUAGGGACUCCAGGGCAGUUAAGCUUACCAAUCCCCUUGAUUUCACCCUUUGCUCCAUCACCAAAGGUUACAUAAAGUCAGUCCCUUAACAAGUAGGACAUUGUCAAGGUUAGGGACUCCAGGGCAGUUAAGCUUACCAAUCCCCUUGAUUUCACCCUUUGCUCCAUCACCAAAGGUUACAUAGCUGGUGGCAUGAGGAUGAGGGUCAGUUAGCAGGUUUUUGUUUCCAGUCAUGUGUCUGGAGCACCCACUGUCAAAAUACCAGUCUUCUUUGGGUGAAACUCUGAAGGAAGUGUGAGCUAUCAGGUUUGUAACACCAGUCCUAGGAACCCAUUGUUUUCUGUUGACAGGUAUGUGAUGUUUGGGUCAAGGUUGAUGAUGAGAAGGACUAGGAUAGCCAUAUAACUUAUAGCAGAAUGGUUUUAUAUGGCCAAAUUUUCCACAGUAAUGACAUCUCCAUCUUUGAUGUUUCCCUUUCUGUUGUCUUCCUUUAUGAUGUUGUGACAUAUGAUGUGACAUCUUUGGUUUGCUACAAGUGUGACUGCACUCAGGUUUGGAUUUUGGUUUGCUACCAGUGUGACUGCACUCAGGUUUGGAUUCAUUGAACCCAAUGCCAGACUUGUCUCCUGUCAUUUGUCCAGUCUGGAGAAUUUUGUCUAAGGUGUCAGAUCCAUUGUUUAGCAUUCUUACAUACUUUGUCAUCUCAUCCAAUUUGGAAUUCAAGAACAUUGCUUUAGUCUUUAACUUAGAGAUGGUUUCCAAGUGUUCUACCUUCUCAUUCUCCAGUUGUGUUAUCACUUUCUUCUGACUUUCAACUUGUUGACACACUUCUUCACUUCUGUGACACAACUUUCUGUAGGUAGUGGCUAACUCAUCACUUGAGUCUUCGUCAGAACCCCAUCUUCCAGUCAAUGCAGUCACAAGAUUUGCAGACUCUUCUGUCUCACUUUCAUCAGACCAAGUAGCAACAAGACUCUUCUUCUGUUUCUUGAGGUAGGUUCCACAUUCAGCUCUAAUGUGUCCAUACCCAUCACAUUCAUGGCACUAAACUCCUUUUCCUUCUUUGGUAUUUUCAUCAGAUCUUAUUCUUCUUCCAGCAUUAUUGGACUUACUGAUGUCAUAUGAGAUGUUCUUGACAUUAGACUUAGACCUUACAUCCAUCUUUUUCAGAAGUCUGUUGAACUGUCUUCCCAGUAAUGUUACAUCAUUUUCCAGAUCUUCAUCAGUAUCUUGACCACUUUCUUCCUCUUUCUCUUUAGUGUUUGACAUGAAGGCUAUGCUUUUGACUUUCUUUUCAGAUACAUCACACAUUCCCAUCUCAAAUGUUUGGAGGGAUCCAAUUAGCUCAUCAACUCUCAUAUUGGAAAUGUCUUGAGACUCUUCUAUGGCUAUCACUUUCAUGGCAAAUCUCUUAGGAAUGACCUGAGUGUUUCCCUCACUAGUUUUUCAUCUGACAUCUUCUCACCCAGGGCUCUGAGGCAUUAGCAAUUUCAAGGAUAUUCAUAUGAAAUUCAUGAAUAUUUUCAUCUUCUUUCAUCCUUAAAUUUUCAAACUUGGUAGUGAGCAGCUACAGUCUAGACAUCUUCACUCUAGAGGUGCCUUCAUGAGUGGUUUUGAGAAUGUUUCAAGCAUUUUUUAGCCACCUCACAGUUGUUUACCAAUAUGAAGAUAUUCUUAUCUACUCCAUUGAAUAUAGCAUUCAAUGCUUUAGAGUUCCCAAGGGCUAGAUCAUCCUCCCUUCCGGUCCAUUGUUCCUCAUCCUUCUUAUCAGUUGUAGCUUCUCAUCCUUAGUAAUAACUGGAUGUUCCCAACCUGUUAAAACAACCUUUCCAAGCCUUAUUAUCAAAGAUUUUAGGAAGGCUACCAUUCGAGGUUUCCAGUAGUCAUAGUUGGAUCCAUCCAGAAUAGGUGUCUGUGAACAGAUCCUCCGUCCUAUCCAUAGUACCAGAAAGUAACAUCCAUAGAUCUCACCAGACCAGAGCAGGAUGGCUGCUAUGAUACCAAUUGAAAUCUGGUAUCAGAUAUGAGAUGUCGAAGGUAAUGUCACGACACUAAUAUCUGAACAAUACAAACAGGAUAAAAGAUAAAGAACAUAAUGCAAGAGACACAAGCAAUUGUUAACCCAGUUUGGUGCAAACUUACCUACGUUGGGGCUACAAAGUCAGGAAGGAAAUCCACUAAACAGAAUCAGUUCAAAGACUCUCAGUAAACAACUUCAAGUUACAGUCUUUUCACCUAAUCUCUACCGUGUGAUUCUACCUAAGGAACUCUUAAUAUGAGCAUCCUACUCACUCCCCCUCAAUCACAGUAGUGAUAUAAAACAAGAAUUACAAUGAAAAUAAGACACUCUUCAAAGACACAUACUUGAUCUUACUUAAAAGCUUCAAUCAAGUAAACACACACUCAUGGUUCAAAGCUUAGAGUGGACAAAUUACAACUCAAAAAUCAGUCAAAUUCAAUCAUCUAUGGAUGAAUGAAUGGCUUACAGUACACACGACCACACAAGACUCAAACCCUUAUUCUCUCUCAAUAUUUUCUUGUGUGUACAACCAGGUUUUCCAUGUCCUUUAUAUAGAAGCAAUUGGUUGGGCUUGGACAUCAUAAAACCCUAAAACUAUUUUCCAUUCAUAUCUUCUCAUGAUAGUUGAUUAUAUCUCCUUGGAAAAUAAGUCAAUCUAGUUGUAAUUACUGAUUGAUAGCGUGUUCAAUCAUCUCAUCAAUCAUACAUAGAUUAGCAUUAAAAACGCAAUCACAUAAUACAUAACAUUUAGACUGAAUGUUCUGUAUACAGAUGUCAUGACAUCGGGUCUGACAUCUCAGUAAAAUCCUGCAUAAUCACAUUUUAACCAUCCUGCAAGUACAUGUUAUCUUAUGUCAAGACAACACUUGUGACAACUUGUGAACAUUCUAGGUUUUACCAAAAUUGCUGCCAACACAUAGAACCAACAAGAUUUUUUUUUAUUUGAAAAUUUCCUUAAGUUUGUUGUUGAAGUUGAAAAUAUGGUUUUACCAUGUAACUUAAAAACACUUCUGAAUCUACAUCGGCUUUGCAUUUGGAAUAUAGUGAUUGUCUUGUUUAAAUUCUGUUUCAUUAGCAAGUUGUUAUGAAAUUAUGUGGGUUUUAUUCAUUGUGCUAUAAAUAGUAUUUGAUUCUUUAAUUUUUAAAGGAGAACUUGUUUCUAAACAUGAGCAUGGGCACUUGAGGUUUGAUUAUCUUUCUACUGUCAAUGUUCGUUUGAGAAUUAAAUUAGGAUAGAAAUGUUGGAUUAUCACUUUUAUUGGUGUUGUUCUAGUCUUAUAAAAAGGGAAGAAAAAGCAAGGUGUAGGUUUGUUUCAGUGGUUGUCAUUUGAUUUUGGAGCAUGUUGAAUUUGCAAACCAUAUAUAUAUACUUUGAAUGGUUACUGUGUUGUGUAGGAACCUGUAAAUGGAUUUUAUUUCAUUUUUACUUCUAACUUUUUUUAAUGGUCAACGAGCUUUAUUGCAAUUAAGUAAAAUAUGGAUAAUAUUAACCAUAACUUUGUGAGUAUAUUAUUAAUUAAUUAUUAAUAUUGUGAUGAUAUUGUCAAUUGAUGCUUAAAGAUUGUGAUUAUAUUUAUAAGUGAUUGCUAAAAAUUGUAAUGAUAUUAUUAGUAGCUUAUUGAAACAUUAUAGUGUAUAUAGAUUCUUGACCCAAUGAUGUUAUGGAAUUGUUGAGUUUCGGUAACUUAUUAUGAGCUUUGCAAAUAUAGUUCGUUUCUACUACAUUGUGUUGAAUCGGACCUCUAUCCAUGGAUUCAACAAUUUUAUGCAGAUAUGCCGCCAAGUUUCAAUAAAUUAACAGAAUAUUUCACCGCAUUUUGAUCCACAUACGACAAUCCAAAUCAGUUGUCGCUAUGUACAAACCGGUUUAUGAGCCCAUUGUCACCGAUUUAAUUCAAUCAAUUAUAUCAACAUCAUUACUUAAUUCUUUCUCUUUUGAUUAUAACAAAUUAAUUAAUUAAUUAAAUUUUGUCCAAUUAGUUAAUUACCAUUAAUUUAUUUUAAUUAACUUGAUUAUUUAAUUUUAAUUAAAUAAUUUUGAUAAUUAAUCCUAAUUAAUUUAAUUAAUCGAUUCAAUCAAACUUUAAUCGAUUAAUUUUGAUAAUUAAAAAUUGAUUGAUUUCUUUCACUACCGCCAUUUCGUAUCAUUUCUAAACCAAAACCCAUCCAAUCUCACUCAUAAGCGAAAAUCUUGGUCCAAUGCCGAGUAUUUUUUAUUUAAAUCCGAUCAAUCACGCAGAUUCAAAUCAUUUUUCAAAUCGAUAUAACUUCUAAAGAAUAUUCUUUUAUAAUUUAAGCUUGGGACGAAAAAGAGUAUAGGAGAUGUUCGCUUCACUAUCUCUCAAAUAUUCGAAUGAUUGACGUCCGCCAUAUUGCUUGAAUUCUUGUAGCCCGAUUAAAACCUUACCAAAUUCGAAUUCAAAUAAUUUCUUCCAAAUUAAUAUAAUUUUAAAGAAUUUUAUUCAAACUUCGGAUAAAAAGGAUGGGAGGCGUUCGCCUCAACAUCUCUUGAAUAAUUGAAUGAUUGGCGCUCGCCAUAUUGCUCAAAUUAUCGACUUCCGAUUAAAACACACUAAAUGAACUUGGAUAAUGGAAUGAGUGGCGCAUGCCUCAUUGUUCCUUGAAUAAGAAAUUGGGAGGCGCACGCUUCACUACCGCGCAUAUUCAAUUUCCGCAAACAGCUUUCAAUAAUAAUUUAAACAAAAAGGGAGUAGAAGGUGUUCGCCUUGUUAUUCCUUGAAAGAAUUGAACGAAUGGUGUGCACCAUAUUGCUCAAUCUUUUGUCGUUCUUCUUAAAAAUACCAAAUAUAUUAAACUUAAUUUCUCGCCCCCGUGCGACCAACAACUUAAAUCUUUUUAGAAAGAACACUAUUUAAUCCUUUCUAACGCGCACAACUAACUAGUGCUUAAGCCUCCGCCGAGAGUAGACAACCCAACGUUUAGCCUUUAGAACGCGAUCUAAAUAGUCGUUCAUUAAAAGACACCAACCAACCGUAGUUCCCCGAACUACGAAUGCUCUUAUUUCCUUAUUGCACCAUAAGGAUACGUAGGCACGAGAUUGCGAGAUCUUGGCGAGCACACUAAUAAAAAACCUUCAUUUUCCCCCUUCUGAGGUUUCCAUCCAUCUCUAUUUUCAAUAUUUUAUCCCUCGAAGAAAACAAGCAACAUAAGCUAACAUUCAAAUCGCAGUUUUAACUAAAAGGUUCCGGUUGAGUACAACGGACGUGAGGGGUGUUAAUACAUUCCCCUUGCGUAAUCAACUCUCGAACCUGAAUAUGGUUGUGACGACCAUUAUUCUAUUUUUUAAGGUUUUAUCGAUAUUUUCCUAUUCCUUCAUUGGGAUAGAUAAAGUUCGGUGACGACUCUGUUCGAACUAAAUUUUUCCGCGACCAUCGUGAGGAAUCAUAUUUUUCGAGAUACGACACCUGCCACGAUGCCUUUUGGUCAUGGCACGGUUGGUUGUUUUCACGUUGGUUGUAGCACGCCGUGUACGCGAUUUUUUCUGGGACUUUGGCUCCUUUUUUCUACUAUUUUCUUCAUAUUUCUUCCUUUCUCCUGUUUCUUCAUUUCCUUGUACUUUUCUCACAAACUAAUUCAAUUUAAACUCAAAUGACAUCAAAACAUUAACUAAUGCUCAUUAAAAUUACAUGAUGACAGAGAGUCAUCAGUGGACAUAGAGAGAAGAGAGUUUCAGAAAACCAUUCCUGGUAGGGUCACUGUAAAUGUCAUGAUAAACGAGGCACGACAUGCCUUGAAGUACAAAAGGUAUGGGAGGAACCGAGGGGUCAGAUAUACUCAAUAUUUGACUUUUUCUUUGUAUUUUGAUAACUUGCAUUUUUGUGAACAAUGUAUGAUUUUCAUUUUGACUUAAUAUAUGGUAUUGGAUGAAUUACAUAAGUGUAACGAUUCAUUAAAUAACAAUUAUGUAUAUUUUUUUAUAAAUGACUUAAAAUAUAAGGUUUAUUAAGUCAAAUUUAUAACAAACUUUCUACUCAAAAGGAAAACUUAGUGUCCUAAGGAUUAGUAUGGAACUUAACUUCCAUUUUAUCCAUUGAAUUGUGAACUAAACACAAUAUAAUGAGUUCAAAAUGUGUCCAAGAGUUAGUCCAUAACUUAAUCUACAGACUCAUUAUUCCAUCAUUACGGAGAUUGACUUAUGUUCUUUUUUUUAGCAAAAUAGAUGUGGCUCACUUAUUAAAUAUUUUGAUGUGUAUUUUUAGGGAUGAAAUUGUACCCAUCUUCAAUACACACCCGCAAUUAGGGCUGGAAAAAAGUCGAAUCGAACUUGUCGCAGCUCGACUCGACUCGUUAAGAAUUGAUUUAAUUUAAAUCUCGAUUCGAGUUUGACACGAACUUUUUUUAAGCGCAAUCUCGGCUCAUUAUAAGUUCAUGAAUAAUUCGGUUCAACUCGUUAGGUUCAUCUCGUUAGGUUCAGUUCACUUGCUUCACGAACUUAAAAACAAUUUUCUUAAAUCUAUUUUUUAUAUAUAUAUUUGAUAUUUUAAAUUAAUAUUUUAAUAUAAUAAAAUUUAUCAGAUUGAAAUGCUACUAUCUCAAAAAUCUACUAAUUUAAAAGCUACACAAUUUUCAAGAAAUACAUUUAAAAAUCUAAUUCAAAAACUACUCAGUUGGAGCCUAAACUUGUCUUUAAAAUCCAUAUCUUCAUCUAAUUAUUUAUAAAGUUACAAAUUUAAUGAAAUAGUAUACCAAAAAUUGAUAGAAAUUGAUACAUUUCCAUCACAUAAUAAUUACAUCACUGGUAACAUUCAUUAUACAUGUUAUCUUAACAAAUGUUAUUAUGCCUCAAAUAAGGAUGACUAUAAAUGCAAUUGUCAAUUUUACUGUCAUAACUAGUACGGAAGAGACAACAUAGGGUUAUGAUUUUGAGUAAAUAUUUAAACAUACUCUUAAAGAUAAUAUAAUCAUUCUCAUAUAUAAUCGAGUUGACUCAUGAACCUAACGAGUCGAACUAUUUAUAAUUUAAGUUCAGUUCGUUUAGUUAACGAACUUAGUUUUUCGCUCAUAUUCAGCUCAUUUGAUUCGUGAACCUAGUUUAACAAUUUAAUUGUCGAUCUGAGUUCCGAAUUAUUUUCGAGUUGGUUCGGUUCAUUGUCAGUCCUACCCACAACAGAUAUGGUAAAAACCCGCAAAUGGAUAUGGGCAUAGGCACGAGUAGUUUUUCACUAAAAUAAGUGGAUAUGAAAUCGGGUACAUGUAUCUUAAUACUCACCUCGCCUCAUAUCCGCACAAUAUAUAUUUAUAUAUUUUUAUUUUUAUUAUUAUUUAAACACAUGCAUGCUUAUCAAUUUUAUUAAAUGCAUUACUAUUAAACUUGUACGCAUUUUAAUUUAAAUUUAUUUAUUUAUUUCUUAACUCAACAAUAACGUUUUUGAAUUUUUUUUUAAAUGUUUUAAAAACUUAAAAUCACAUGAUAAAUUAUAAUUGAUCAAUAAUUUUUUAUUAGAAAUACGGAUAAACGGGUACGAAUAUGGAUACUUAAGUACCCAUUAGAUGCGAAUACAGAUAUAAAUGUUGGUUUUUAUGCGGGUAUAAAUUCGAUACAAAGAUUUUUUCAAAUCACAUGUAAUGAGACGGAAAAAUCCUAUCUAUUGUCAUCCCUAUAUGCAUUCCAAAAGCAUUGUUAAAUUUCAUAAAAGUAACUCUUCAUCGGUACCUAUAUCAAUAGAAAGACAAAUGCAUUUUCUGUGUUUUGUGCAAUGGACUAUUCCAUUGCUUAAUCGUGUGUUUACUACCUCCACUAAAAUAAACUAUGUAAGAAGUUUCAUUAAUUAAAUUCCAAAACUAGCACUAAACGUAAUUGAUAACAUCACCCACCACUAAGGGCCUUUCUUUUCUCCAAGUACUCCUCAUUAAUUAUUUUAUCUUCUCUGCAUUUCAUUCAAUGUAUUAUUUUAUUACUCUCAAUUGCAACCAAUAGCCAAGCUUCAGUCCAGGUUUUUUAAAUUGCUUACCAUCAUAAACCUUAAGUGUUAAAAUACAAGUUGCACUCUAUAUCCAAUUGCAUCUUUUUAAAACUUGUUGAUGACUAAAUUAACUCGGUUUUUAAUUUUCUCUACUGGACCACCACGUGUCUGUAUAACGAGAAUUUAACUUGUCACCUUCAGCUAUUACUGACACUCCUCAUUUUAUAUAAAUAGACGAUACUAUCCCUGCAACAGUUUUCACUUAUUGUUUUUCAAAUUCACCUAUCACACGCGCGAUUUUUGAAAUCUCUGGGACAAAUACCAAAAAUUUCCUUUUUUUAAUCAAAAAUACUUUGUAUUAGUUCAAAACCAAGAACACAAAAGGCGAUCAUAAGAGAUCCAGCCCUCCAAAAAGACAAGUCAAAAACAAAAAGAGACAAAGAGCUACAUCAUCUAAGUAGCUAUGUGAGGUCUAAGUCUCUCACUAUACCAACAUCUAUAAAAAAUCAUGUCAAUAAUAUUAUUUAUUAUAUUUUUGUUAUCUACAUUGUUUCCUAAAUACUUGUCAUUUUGGUAUCUCCAAAUGUCAUAGAUAGUUUCCGCAACAGUCAGCUUUAGGAUGGAAGCCCUUCAUCCCUUACCCUUGCUACGAGACACAAUUCAACCCAACUCUUCCCACCAUUCCUUGGGAACAUGGUCCACUUGGAUCCAUUCAAGGAUUUUCAACCAAAUGGCUUUAGACUCUCUGCAUCCAUAGAAGAGAUGAUCCAAGGUCUCUUCAUGAGAGCAUAAAUAACAAGUAUUUGUAUCAAUCAAUCUGAACCUACAAAGCCUAGCUUUCGUAGGGAGUCUCCCAUGACAAGCCAACCAUAAUCUCAUUACCGUUCUUGGUCUUACCACAUUAUCAUAAAUCAUUCGGUUCCAUAUCACUUUAUUUUUACUCAUGCUUCUGAGCUUCAAGUACACUUUCUUAGUGGUGAAUCUAUCACAUUGAAGUUGAUGUUGCCAAAGGGUUUGCACAUGUGCAAUUUUCUCUCUUUGAUGAAAAAUAACACGCAUAAUCCAUGAAUGUCUAGCCUUAGCAUCCAUAUUCAUCAGCUCACCUCCUUUGAUGUAGUAACUGUGUAUCCAUUUCACCCAAAGAUUAUCAGAUUUCUUGCAAAGAUUCCAAAGGAGUUUUAACAUUGUGGUGUGGUUCCAAGUACCCAACUCAAUGAUGUUUAGACCACCAUACUUCUUAGGGUUGCACGCUUGCUUCUAGACAAUAGGACUCUUGCUGCUAAUAUCAGAAUUACCAGUCCAAAGAAAAGAACUCAUAAUUGCAUCAAUUUUAUGAAUCACAGUCUUAGGAAGAGGGAGACGUUGCAUCCAAUAGUUAGUGACAACAAAGGAGACAAACUUAAUAAGUUGCAUUCUACAUGCAUAACUAAGAAGGUUGUUGCUCCAAUGUCUGACGUUUCCAACAUCUUAUCUAGAAGACUCAUAUAAUAAUGAAUAUUCAACUAUUUACUGGACAAAGGAACACCCAGAUAUCUAAAAGGGAGGGUACCCUGCUCAAAAGUAAUCAUGACAAUGAUCAUAACCCUGGUAUUUGCAUCAACCUCACCAAAGAAAACUUUACAUUUCAUGGGAUUCACAGCCAGACCAGUGGACUUGGCAAAGAGGUCCAGAGCAUUCAGCAUCAAUUUAAUAGACCCACAAUCACCUCUAGCAAAAAGUAAAAUAUCAUCAACAAAGGUCAAGUUGGUGAUUUGGAGUCUUUCGCAUUUGGCAUGAUGUUUUAAAUCUGGAUUUUUCUACAUCUUGAGCAAGGGUGAUAAAGGAUCCCCUUGUUUGUUCAAGUAUUCAAAUUUGCCUGCCGGAAUUUUGAAAAACAAUAUGUUUUUUAUCGAACUGAUUAAGUAUCGUAAUUUUCAUUUUUUUUGAUAAUUUACCAUGAAAAUUUCACAAUUUGCGAUACAAAAUGACCUAUAAAUUUCUCGAAAUUUUCAAAAUUUUAAUAGUUCUAAAAACUUUGUUUUUCAUCGAAAAUUCCAGAAAUUUCGAAAAAAAUUAGAAAAAUUGUAAAAUUCUCAUAACUUUUGUAAAAUCAGGAAAAUUGUAAAAUUUGUAAUAUUUCCCAACACAAAGGGUAAAUUUGUUUUAGUUUUUUCUUUAAAUGAUUUUUAUAAUGAUAUAUGUUUUUGUUAAAAAAUAUUUAAAAAAUUAAAAAAAAAAUAACUUUAAAAUUAUAAAUUGGUUGAAAUUAUUUUUCAUAAAAUUAUUUUGUUUUUUUUAUAUAAUUUUUUUAAUAUAAAAUUUUAAGAUAUCUUUUAAAUUUAAAACUAUUUUGAAUCAUUUUUCAUAAAAAUUAUUUUGAAAUAUUAUGUAAUUUUGAUUAUAUUUUUAAUCUUCAAAAAUAUAUAUUUAGAUCACACGAUGAUAAUAUAAAAAAUAAAUUUAAAAAAAUUAUUAGUUUACUUUACAAAAGUUAUUUUUAAAAAUAUAAAAGAAAUUCUACUUUUUAAGAUAAAACGACCUAUAUUUAUGGAAAAUCAAGACAAUUUUUGAAACAAACUCGCUACAUGCAACAUAAGAAAUACACACCUUUCACAAGAUAAAGAGAGGAUGUUGAUUGAAUUUCAUAUUUAAAAUGAGGAUCCCACAAGGCAAUCUAAAGAGUGCAAAACAAACUCAUUUGCAAAAGACUAAAAGGUAGUCAAAUUAUCAAAGCAUUGCUUUAUGCAUUCAAUGGCACAAGUGCAUCAAUUUAGUGGAUUUUGUGGAUAAGUUUAAGUGCCCGUUUGUUUUGAUUUUUUCUAAAAAAAAUUUUAUAGUGUUACAUAUUUUAAUAUAAAAAAAAUUUAUAAAGAAAUUUUUCAUAAAAGCUUCAAAUGAAAAUUUGGUUUGAAUAGUUAUUCUUAAAAUGUUAUUUUAGAUAUUUCAUCAUUUUAUCGAAACUUUUUUUGGAUAUCAAAUUUUCAAAAUAUCACUUAAUUUUGAAGCUAUUUCAAAUAACUUUCAUAAAAAAUAUUUUAAGAUACAAUUUUUUGAAAAAAUUGUGAUUUUGACUAUAUUUUAAUCUUCAAUAAUGUAUAUUUAUGUUAUAGAAUGAAUAAUUCAAUUUUUUAAUUUAUAAAAAAUAAAUUUAAAAAAACUUUUAAUAUUUUAAAAAAUAUUUUUGUAGAAUUCAUUUUUAAAAAUACAAAGAAAAAAUCUAUUUUUUUAAAGUUAAAAUAAAUUGGCCAUAGAUAAGACCUUCUAGAUUUUGAAAAAUUAUAUGACUUUGUUAGUUGGAGUUUUUUUUUUUUUUUUGUAUGUAUAUGCUUACCAAAUUAUACCUUAUUGAAAAGUGGAGAUUCUGGAUGAGAGUUUUGAUGUUCUCAAGAAAACUUGUGAAUUUGAUUUUUUGUAUGUAUAUGCUUACCAAAUUAUACCUUAUUGAAAAGUGGAGAUUCUGGAUGAGAGUUUUGAUGUUCUCAAGAAAACUUGUGAAUUUGGCUCUCCUAAAUAAAUGGUGGUGGAGGCUGAUCUAGGAUGUUACUCGGCUUUGGUCCAAUAUCCUAUAUAAUCAUGAUUGGAUUGAUAGUAAUAGUGAUAAGUUUUUAUUAUAUUUUAUGUACAGUGUGAUUAAAGCAAAUUCUAUUGUGAGGUUUUUAAAAAUAAAUAAAUAAGCAAAUUCUAUUGUGAGGUUUUUAAAAAUAAAUUGUGUUAAAGUUUUCAACUUAUACCGAUAAGAAUAUGGGUCUUUUUUUACCACUUAAAUUUAAGAAAUAUUAAAAUGAUUUAAUAGAUUAUAUAUUAAAAUGGGGAUUAUUUUAUUAGGUCUAAAAGGGAAUGGUCUUUGAUAAAACAAUUUAGACUAAUUGUGUUAAUGGGGAGAGUAUCCAAGGCGAAGUUGGUCGCUCAGAGCAUAAUACGUGUUACCCAAUAGGAUUUGAGUCGGAAACCCAUGAUCUGUCUCACCAAACAUAUAUGGCAUGUGAGUUGUCAACGAAGAAUAACGGUCUGCAAAGAUCAAUCAAAGGGAAAACUACCUCUUCCACAUUUUGAGGGAGAAUUAGUCUUCGUUUAUUCCCAUAUUGCUAAUGAGAGAAAGUGAAAUAGUUUUCUUCUAGAGUCUGACCCAUGGAUCCACUAUAAGUAUCCUUACCUCAUAAUCGAAAAAGGUGAUUCAUUAAUUUUCCAAAAACUAGUAUGCAUGGUCUCUUGCAACCUAUGUAGGCGGAUUCUUUCCAUCACUAUUGUACUUUUAGCAAGUACAAUUGACGCCUACUAUGGGGUUACAUCAAAACUGACAUAGGUCACACUCACCUUCAGUUUAGAAGCCUCUUCAACCAUUUCCUUAUCAUGACGAUAAAAUGGGGUGUCUUGAAUUCUACCAAAUUGGUCAAUCCACUCAUACCAUAUCAGAGGGGUUUGUUGGAGGCAGAGAAUCCAACUCAUAUCGUAGGAGAUACAACUCAUAUUGUAGGAGAUACGCUCACCAAGUUAUGUUGUAAGAGGGCUCACCUACUAGCCUUCUGCCAAAUUCAAGAAAAGAGUCAAAACCUGGGAUCGUUUUCUCUAGAAAAGACGUCGUUGGCGUCCGUACUCAUGAAUAUGACUCGAUGGUCAUAAUAGUGAGGUUUGAAUAUUGGGAUAUAAAUAGGUAUGGAUUGACCCACGGUGCUUAACAAUUUUCCUAUUCUGAGACUCAUUUGAAAAGCUAUGGUUGGAUCUAUAUGACAUUCUGGAUUUCCAAGGUUUGUUGAUCAGGCUCUUAGGCAAGCACUACAGGUGAAGGGACACAUAACCCAUAACAUGAUAUUCGAAAUGAAUGGAAAUGCGAAGAUGAUCAAGUCCAGGUACCUUGUAGGAGGCGCCUCUUUUUCAUGUAACAUCGUCAUAGGGAGGUGUGCCCUCUCAACCUUUUAGGAGCUACCAUGUCAACCUUAUACCUAAGAAUGAAAUAUCUAUUGUCUGACGGGCAUGUUGGAACAAUCUAGGGUGAUCAAGACAUAACCUAAGAAUGUUAACACGAUAGCCUCCAAUUAAGGAGGGUGGAGAUGGUUGCAUAUGCCAUCCUUCAACCAAACAUGCAAGGGUUGGAUUUUGUAAGUCUAUAUCCCAUGGUAGACACCGAGAAAUAAGGACUAAUACCCACAAGGAUCUAUAGGAGGUUCAGAUUAGACCCUAAGAUUUUCAAACCACCAAUCUAAGCACCUCAUUGGCCAAAGCUAUAGAAGAAGAGUUUAUCUCCACGCUUGGGAAAAUGUUGAUUUGUUUGCUUGGAACCCUUCAGACAUGUCAUGUAUAUACGCUAGGGUGGUAUGUCACCUCUUUACCAUAAAAUCCAUUAUGAAGCAUAUGUCACAGAGAAACCGUAAAGUUGGUGAAGAGAAGCGGUUCUCAUGUUGUUGAUAAAUCGUUGUAAAGAUGAAUGGUAACAUAAAUUUAUCAAACUCUCUUCUAACUCUUGACAACAAGAAUUGGCUUCGAUGGAGAAAAAAUGAAAUCUCUAUUUGGCUUUCAUGAAACCCUAGAAGUGGUUGUUCUUGCGGUUGGUGAAAAUACAACUGAUGCAUAGAGAACUGCUCACAAGGAUACCAAGAAUAAGGAUUUCAAGGCGGCGUUUUACAUCCAAUUUGUGGUUGAUGCGGCUAACUUUGACAAAAUUUCUCAUGUUGAAUCGACGAAGGAGGCAUGGGAUAUUCUUGUCAAGUACUAUGAAGGAGGUGAGAAAUUCAAGGUUGUCAAGUUGCAAAUUUUACGAACAAUAUAAAUUGUUGUCAAUGGGAGAAGACGAAAAUAUUGCAGGAUAUUUGUCGAAGGUGCAGAAACUCGUUCAUCUUAUGAAGGGUUAUGGUGAAACCCUAACAUGUAAGUUAAUAGUUGAAAAGGUAAUGCGUAUGUUUAUCUCUCACUUUGAUCAUAUUAUCGUAGCUAUUCAAGAAUCCAAGAAUCUUGAAACCCUAAAAUUGGAAGAUUUGGUUGGUUCGUUGGAGGCACAUGAGAUUAGCAUUUUCGAAAGGAAAGGAGUUCAGGACUCGAUACAAGCACUACAGGAUCAGUCAUUGAAGAAUAAUGGUGGUUCCAACAAGUUCAAAGGCAAAAUCAACAAGACUCAGGGAAAGAAGUCUUGGUCAAAUCCUUACAAGAAUAAGGUUGAUGGUAGAGCUUCUGAAUCCUCGAAAAAAGAAGAAGGAAAUUCCUAUCAUAAAGAUAAAGAAGAGAAAAAAGGUGUGUAGUGCUAUAACUAUGAAAAAUGGGGUCACUUGGCCAAGAAUUGUUGGUACAGGAAAGACAAGGGAUCGACAAAAGGCAAGGACGAAGAAGCGAACCUUGCACAUCAAGAUUCUGAUGAUAUGGUGGUUAUGGUUGCAGUUGCAGAUGAUCAUGUCAAAUCCAAGAUCCGGUUCCUCGACUCAGGUUGCUUGAAUCACAUGACUGGUCAAAAAGUAUGGUUAGUAGAUUUCGACGAGUCGAAGAAGAUCAAGGUCAAACUUGCUGAUAAUAGUUUGUUGCAAGCUGAAGGUACUAGCAACAUAGUUAUUUAAAGGAGUAAUGGAGAGAAAUCAUUGAUCAAAUAUGUACUAUAUGUCCCUAGAAUGAAGUGUAAUCUACUAAGUGUUGGACAACUGGUCCAAAAGGGGUUCUCAAUGGUUAUGAAAGAUGGAUCCUUAGAACUUUUCGAAAUCUAGAAUAACUUAGUAUUGAAAUAUCCUUUGUCGAAGAAUAGAAUAUUUAAGACUAUAAUCAGUUCGACUGAGGUACAAUGUCUGAAAAUAGUUGUCGACCACAAAAAUAAUUGGUUGUGGAAUCUGAGGUUUGGCCAUCUGAAUUUUAGGUCGCUCAAUCAACUGAUCACUCAAGAUAUGGUAACUGGUAUACCAAGUAUUGAGAUGCCCGACAAACUCCAUGAAGGUUGUCUAGUCGGAAAGCAGUCCAGGAAAUCUUUUGUUUUGACUAUGCCAAUGAGAUCCUCCUGCAUACUCGAAGUUGUACAUUCAGACGUAUGUGGUCCUGUUAAGGAGCAUACCAUUGGUGGAAACAGGUGUUUUGUUUUGUUUGUUGAUGAGUUUAGUCGAAAGUUGUGGAUCUAUGUGAUUAAAAGAAAGGACAAAGUAUUCAAAAUAUUUAAGAGAUGCAAGAUGCUUGUCGAAAACCAUAGUGAAAAGAAGAUCAAGGUUCUGUGAAUAGAUGGAGGUGGCGAAUACACAUCCAAGAUAUUUGAAGCAUUAUGUGCAAAACAUGGUGUUGAUCAUGAGGUAAUGCUCCUUAUACUCCUCAACAUAAUGGAAUAGCAGAAAAAAGAAACGGGACCAUAUUGGACAUGGCGAGAUGCAUAUUGAAGCAGAAGAAUUUGCCAAAAUCCUUAUGGGGUGAAGCUGUUUCGACUGCUGUUUAUAUAUUGAACAUGUGCCCUACUAAGAAUCUAAAGAACAAGGUUCCUGAAGAAGUGUGGAGUGGCAAAUAACCAUCGGUGAGUCAUCUGAAGGUGUUUGGCUCUAUGUGUUAUAAGCAUGUUCCUGAUGCAAGAAGAAGGAAGCUUGAUGACAAUAGUGAACCUAUGAUGCUGGUAGGAUAUCAUAAGACUUAAGCAUACAGGCUCUUCAAUCCAAUUAACCAGAAGAUUAUGAUUAGUUGAGAUAUUGUGAUUGAUGAAAAUUUUGCAUGGGAUUGGAAUUCUAGUAAUGCAAUUGACAAGCCAUUGAUGAGCUAUGAUUUCAACGAAGCAAGUAAUGAUCUCGAAGUCGAAGAUAUUAUCGAUAUUCUAGUUGAAGUCGAAGUUGUUGUUGAAAUACCUUACACAUUUGAAGUCGAAGAGGUUAUGGCUAGAACAAGUCAGAGACCUCAAAGAACUAGAGCUUGUUCAGCAAGACUUCAAGACUGUGAAGUGGUUGGUGAUGAUGAAGUCACAACAGAUGAAGAUCUAGUUCAUUUUUCUUUACUUACAGGUGCUAAACCAAUCAACUAUAGAGAGGCUUUAACGAAUAUGAAGUGAAAGUCUGUUGUGGUCGAAGAGUUAUAAGAAAUCGAAAGAAACAACAUAUGGGAGUUGGUAGAAUUGCUAGCCCAUACAAAAGCUAUCAAAGUGAAGUGGGUGUUCAAGUUGAAGCACAAUGUUGAUGGGUCGAUAGUAAGACAUACGGCGAGAUUGGUAGCUCGAGGAUUUCUUCAACGAGUAGGACUCGACUACUCUAAAGUCUUUGCACAUGUCGCAAGAUUAGAAAUUGUUCGACUAGUGGUAGCCUUGGCAUGUAAGCAAGGUUGGUCGACAUUUCACUUAGAUGUGAAGUCAACAUUUUUAAUGGACCUUUAGAUGAAGAGGCGUAUGUCACAUAACCUAAUGGGUUUGUGAUUCAGGAGGAAGCAAAGAAAGUAUACAAGUUGCACAAAGCGUUAUAUGGUCUCAAGUAGGCACCUAGGGCAUGGAAUAAGAAGAUUGAUUCAUACUUGGUCUAAUUGGAAUUCGUCAAAUGCAAAUCUGAGCAUGGUGUCUAUGUUCAGGUUAUGGUAUAGGAUAUAACAAUCAUCUGCUUAUAUGUCGAUGACUUGCUAGUAACUAGAAAUAACUUGAAGAAUAUGUCAAAGUUCAAAUAUCUGAUGAAGAAGGAAUUUGAAAUGUCGGAUCUGGGAAAGUUGUCAUACUUCCUAAGCAUGGAAUUUCAAAUGUCGACGCAAGGUAUGGUGCUACAUCAAAGAAAGUAUGUCAAGGAGAUACUCAAGAUAUUCAAGAUGGAUGAUUCGACUCCUGCAUAUUUGCAUAUCGAACCAAAUUUGAAGUUGGAGAAGUAUGGAGAGAAAGACAAAGUUGAUGCAACUUUGUUCGAACAGAUUAUCAGAUCUCGGAGAUAUGUGUGUAACCAUUGACCUGAUAUAUGUUUCUUAGUCGGAUUAGUUAUCAGAUAUAUGAGUGAACCAAGGGUGUCACACAUGAAUGUUGCAAGAAUAAUCUUGAGAUACUUAAAAGAAUCGAUAAACUAUGGAAUUUUAUUUCGACGAGACUCUAAAAACAAAGAAGUUAUGGUUACUUGUUAUUUAGACGUUGAUUAGUGUGGAGAUAAGGAAGAUCGAAUAAGCACUACUGGAUAUUUCUUUCAAGUAUUUGGUGCCCCAAUCUCAUGGUGCUCGAGAAAGAAAUCUAUGAUGGAAUUAUCAUCGUGUGAGGCUGAAUAUAUAGCAGGAUCUUAUGUUGCAUGUCAAGCAAUUUGGAUCAGAUCUGUGCUAGAAGAGAUCGAGGUCGAAGUGAAGAAACCUCUGGUACUGCAUAUCAAUAACAAGUCAGCCAUAAAUCUUGCGAAGAAUCAAGUUUUGCAUGGAAGAAGUAAGCACAUAGAAGCUAGAUUUCACUUCUUAAGGGAGAAGGUAAAUCAAUGUGAACUUGAAGUAAGACAUUGCUCAACUGAAGUACAAUUGACCGAUAUUUUCACCAAAGGAUUGAAGAUCGACAGAUUCCUAACGUUGAGAAAGAAAUUAUGAAUAGUUCAGGUCGACAAUGAUUAGUGUGUUUCAACAACUUAGAUUAUAUGGGGGUGUGUUAAGAUAUUAGAUAUAAUCCAAAUUGAGUUGUGUGGCACAAGCUCAAAGCUAAUUAGGAUUUAUGGUUUGUUACUUAGUUUAUUAUUUUACUUAAUAAUCAAAUCAUUUAAGUGUAUCUAAAUAGACACUUUAUAAUUCAAUUUUUUCAACAUUCAAUUCAAUAAUACAAUCAUUAUUUUCUUAUUCUCUCUUUCUCCCCUCAAAGUGCCUCACGCUCUAAUAGUUUUAUUAUCCGGUGAUCGGAAUUAUUUAAAAAUCUCGUAACAAAUAUUUUUUUCUCAACCAUUGAAUUGAUCAUGGUUUGAGCAAGAUUUUUGGGUCUCAAGGGAUUUGGAAUAGAUAAGUGGUGCACUGGAUUGCUCGUUGGCCUUUUUGAAAUCAACAACAAUAUAUUUCUUCCUUCCCUUAGCUUGUGUGUUUUGAGGGUUGCUUUUCGUGCUUUGCUCUUUUUGGUUAGUUGAGUGGGUUUGGUGGUGGUCUUCCAUUUGCUGAGGUACCUAACUCUUGUGUAGAUUUGAGGUGGUUUGUGUGUUUUGUCCUUUUUGUUGCUUGUUGCUUUUUGGGCUGUCUUGAUACAUCUUAUAUUUGUGACUCUCUUUAGUUUGUACUUUGGGAAUAUUGCUUGAAUUUCAUAUUUUCAUAUUUAAAUGGAGGAUUCCAUGAGGUAAUAUAAAGAGUACAAAACAAAUUCAUUCAAAAGACUAAUUGGUAGUCAAAUUAGCAAAGCAUUGGAUGUAUGCAUUCAAUAGCACAAGUGCAUCAAUCAACCCAAAAAAAAAAAAUACAUCUUACACCACCUACUCUUUGUCUUAAACCGGGACCAAGGCAUAAUUAUAAACCAGGACCAAGAUAUAACUAUAAAGUGGUCCAAGAAACAUAUCAAAUUAAAAAUAGGAGUUUUGAAAUUUAUCAUCUUAUAUUGCUUUUAGGAAUGAAUUGAGAAAAUCUCAUAAAAAUCAUAUAAUAUCAUUUUAGAAUAGGAAUUAGAGCUAGAUGACUGAACUCCUAAUGAGACGCCGCAAGUCUCUAAUGUGGUGGAUAACAGCGUAAAAAUAUAAGAUUAAUACUUCAAUGAAUAAAUCAAUAAUAAAAAUCAAAUAUAAAUAGUCUGAAAUGUGAAAAAUAUGAAGUAUCCGAAACCUAACACGUGUAGGAGUAUUUAUCCCUAAAUUAAUUAUUUUACUAAAUUUACUUUUUUUAAUGGCAAUUAGAUUAAUGUAUGUAUACAAAAGCUUUAAAAGACUAAAAAGAUAACACAUUUGCCCUUUCAAGAGAUCAAAUUCAAUAUUACUCCUACUUCUGUAAAAGAAUGUAUCCCUCAAGAAAAGAUGAAUUAGGGAUCAGAUAAUCAAUGUGGCAUAGGAUUUAGUCAACACAACAAAAUGUUUGUAGUGCACACAACACAAGUAGUCAACAACUUGAGCUUUGAAGGGCCCCACACCAUCCAACAUGCUCUUAUUAUGACAAUGACGUUUUGGCCAUAAUCCACUCACUCUCCCAACAAUACAACCGCCCAGGAUCAUGACUUAUUGACUCUUACUUGAUUCACUUCACAAUACACACUUCAAAAUAAAACUAAAUUAGGUCUUUUUGUAAUAUUUCAAAUACCAUAAGGGUAUUUUCAAUAACCAAGUAGUUUAUAUAUUGCACAAAACAUUGUUCCUAAUUCACUUAACUUACAAAUAAACUAUUAACUAUAUCAUCUUUUCUAUCAAGCAAACCCACUAAAGAGAAAAACAUGGGAAAUUGUUUGGUACUACAACAAAUUAAUAUGAUGAAGAUCAUGAAAACUGAUAGGAAAGUUCUCGAAUACACAACACCAAUCAAAGUUGAAGAGGUUUUGCCACCUCCACCACCGGCAUCACCGAAAGGGGUCAAGAAGGUGAGGUUUGCAAAUCCAGAAGUUCAAGAUGUACAUAAAAGUAGUGUUGUUAGGAUUAAGCUUGUUAUUAGUAAGCAAAAACUGCAAGAGUACAAUCUAUUACCUCCCUAAACAGUUGACAAGAUGUUAUCUCUUGCUCAUGGUGAAGAUUUGUGUAAAGAAAAUGAUGAUGAUUCUCUAGGAGAGUGGAAACCAGUAUUGAAAAGCAUACCUGAACUAAUCUAACAGUAGGCUUCAAGUUACAAUACUUGUGUUUCUUUCUUAUAAUGCUUAGGUAUUAGAGUUUUGCUUUUUCAAACAUGUAUUAUGUUCAGUAGUAUAAUAACUAAAGGAAUAUAAAUAGAGGA
rnacentral:lncRNA from 1 species